GAAAACUGUCAAGCAUUUCAUCUAAUAUUUGGUGUGCACAAUAUAGUUGCACACAAGAAGAGAGAAAUAGAAGAUCGUGCUAGUUUGAAACUAAUACAAUAAUUUAGAUGAUGUAGAGUUUUGAAUGCAAAACACAUGGUUAAAACUAACACUCUAUUCACUAAGAUAUUAGGUCACAUAUGAUCUUCAAUUUUUUUUUAUCCACAUGUAAUCUUCAAUUGGUUUCAAAUUGCUCAAACAUGUAGUAGACAUGAAGUACUAGGAAUGAACGUUUGUAUUUUACAAUGCUUCUCCUCUUAUUAAAUGAUGUGGCCACUAGUGUCUCAUAUACUUGUACACAAGUGAAUUGGUUUGUGGGGUUACUAAAAAUAAAAAUGGUAAUGGUAGGUAGGCUAAAAUUUUCAAUUAAGUGUACAAAUUAAAUGAUAUGUCAACAAUACAAAAUAAGCAUGAUUCAAUACUUAAGUAAUAAUUUAAUCAUUAACAACCACACCUUGUAGUUCACAAAAUUUAGUUUAUAUAUCUGAUCUCCUUAGCAUUACUAAAAGAAAAAUUUCAUACCAAAACUAAAAUAUCCCAAAUGCAUACUCAUAAAUACAACCAUGUCCAAUAAUCAUGUAACAUGUAGCUAGGUGCAACCAAACUUUUUUUUUUUUUUUUCAAUUUUUUUGUUUCUAAAAAGAAUUUGAAAAUUUCUUGUGAUUUGGCAUUUGCUAUUCACUUAUUGAGGGCAUGGGGCAUUUUAGAUAUCGACCCGAGGUUGAAAAUCGCGUUUCGUGUGAUCUAAUUUGAGGUGAUAAUGAAUUUGUUAUACUUCGAUGUAUGUAUAGCACAAGAAGAAUAAACUAUUCGGAUGAUGUAUUCAAUUGAAAAAUUGAGAGAUUUUAAUAGAUAUAUAAACCCAUAGAAUUUUAUGGAAUAUAAUUGAUUUGUAGAGAUUUUAUGUAAAAUUUUGAUUAAAUUCCCUCGAAAUCUAUGAGAAGAUGUGAGAUUUAUGGAUACUUAAAAUAUACUACGAAAUCUCCUAAAUUCCCUCGAGUUCCUCAAUUUUUUCAAAUUCUUUAAAAUCAAUUUCUAAUUGAAUACACCCAGAUAAACUUCUUUAAAAUCAUAAUUGAAUAUUCUCGAAUUUAAAAGGAUUUUAAUUUACCAUCUUAAAAUCCUGAUUGAAUACAAUUUGAAUUUCAGAGAUCACUUAAAAUUCUAAUUAAAUACCCCUAUAUUUAUAAAAGAAUUAAAAUCUCUCAAAUACAACUAAAAAUCCAUCAAUAAAUUCAACGUUAAAAAUGUGAAAAAUACUGGCACAUACCAAAAAAAUCCAGAAAACAAGAAUUAGAUACAUGUAGCACAGAAAUUCCAUGCAUCAGAGAGAGUGAGAAUCCAAAAGAAAAUUGACAAGGAAAAUCUUGAGGCCACAAGAACAUGUGGCUGAGAAUCAAACCACAUAUGCUGACGUGGCACCACUUCCAACUAUUUUUAAACGGAUCAAAAUCGUAGACGAGGUUUUACCACGCCCAAUGCCACCACCACUCUCUCCCCCAGAAGAAAAGAAAAGGAAAACACCACCUCCAACGCUCGCGCCUCUUUUUCCACUGUUUGGCUGCCGAGAAAAUGCUCGAAACUAAGGACCCCGCGAUCAAGCUCUUCGGGAAGAAGAUUUCCCUCCCCGCCGACAUCGAGGACCUGGGUUUUGCUCGCCCUGUGGAGAAAGAAGUGGAAGUAGAAUUGGAAGAGGAGUGCGAAGAGGAGGAAGAAGAUGCAGAGACUGAGCAGGUAACAGUUUGUAACUGAGAGAGAAAGUUCUUGUUUAAAUUGUUUGUUUGGAUUCGACCCUUUUGUUAAAUGGCAGGGAGCUUUGAUGGGUCGAGCUCCUUUUUUUUAUUCGUUUUCAUUUUUCUUCUUUUUUUGUUUGAUUUUUUUUUAAUCCUGUUUAAUUAACUUUUAAAGUCUAGAAGAUGAAAGAAUCAGGGAAAGGAAAUGGAAAUUCUGAUCCUUUUUUGGCCAUCUGAGAAUUGGAAUGGAAAAUUUGUUGCCUUUUGAUUGUUUGAUUCAAUUUUGUUAUGAAUGAAAGAUUUUCAAUCAAUGAAUUUCGAUCCAGCUUUUGGAAAAAGUAUAAAAUUGAUUCAUGUUGUUACUUCGAUGUUUAAUUGUUUUGGUUAGUUAAGUUCAAUUUACAUAUGCCACUAGCUAAUUAGAUUUUUUUUAAAAGUGAUUGCAGAUUAAAAACUGUGAAACUGUUUGUGCUUCUUGAUUUUUUUCCUAAUUAGGCAGCCAGGUUUUCAGCUGUGAGAUUUAAAAUUUCUUUUAUGAAUAAAAACAACAAAAAAACUUUAUCUCACUAAGUGAGAUAGGCCCGUUGAAUUCUAAACCGCGCUCGAUUUUGCGCUCUAAGUACUCCAUGUCUUCUUCGAGUCGCUAUCCAAGUUUUCCAAAGUUUUUCUGUCUUUUUUGCCCUGAGCCUGUCUCAUAAUCGCAUCAUUUAACCAAACUUCUGUAGAUCUUCGGUUCAUGUGUCUAAACCAUCUUAAUUGAUUUUUUCUUUUUUUUCUUCAAUUGCAGCUGCUCUUACUUUAUAUCGAUUAUCCUCGUUCUUAGUCUUAUCCUUUCUCGUGUGCCACAAAUUCAACGAAGCAUUUUUAUCUCCGCACAUUUUUUUACACGUGUUGAUGCUUAACCGUCCAACCUUCUGUGUAUAAAGUAUUGCUGGCCUUGUUGCCUUCGUAUAAUUUUUUUUUAUCAAUAUGAAAGGAAUAUUGGAAGGUUUGUCUAUUGAUUUUCUGAACUGUUGUUUUCAUUAAUUUUCUGGACUUCUUGGAUUUAUGUAACAGAGUAAUUUGGAUUCUCCAAUUUGUAGAAGUUUCAGUAGAUUUGAUUGUGUGAGUGAAACUAUAGUACAACCAAACUUGCAACAAAAAGGAUAAAAAGGCAAAAGAUGAUCACUUUUCUGUUGAAAAAAGAAGAAAGCUCCUUGUAAACACAUAAAUUUAGAGUACUCAUUUCUUGUAGGUCAAAUUGAUCGAUUCCAUUUUGUUUCAAGUUUAUUUUGCGAUACUUGUUCCUAAAGCGUAUUUUUAAAAUUUCAGGAUUCGCCGUCACAAAAAUCGACUGAGAGCAUAGAACAAGAUGAUGGUUCUCAACCAAAAUCUGAAGACCCUACAAAUCUGGAAACAUUACCAGGUUCUGAUGUGAACCCGAAGACACCCUCUAUAGAUGAAGAAAGUGCACAAACAAAAACUGCUCAGACGGAGAAAGAACAGAGUACUGAAAACUCGGAAGAGAAAACCCUGAAGAAGCCUGACAAGAUACUUCCAUGCCCCCGCUGCAAUAGCAUGGACACUAAAUUUUGUUACUACAACAAUUACAACGUGAAUCAACCACGCCAUUUCUGUAAAGCCUGUCAAAGAUACUGGACAGCAGGCGGUACCAUGAGGAAUGUGCCUGUGGGAGCUGGACGUCGCAAAAACAAGAACUCUGCCUCACACUAUCGCCACAUGACCAUUAGCGAGGCUCUUGAAGCAGCUCGGAUUGAUGCUCCAAAUGGAGUUCACCACCCUGCAUUAAAAAGCAAUGGUAGAGUCCUCAGCUUCGGAGUGGAUGCACCUAUUUGUGAUUCUAUGGCUUCUUCUCUAAAUCCUGCAGAUAAAAAGGUUCCAAAUGGUACUCGAAAUGGUUUACAUAAAAGCGAAGAACAGGUAUUUCCAUCUCCUUGCAAAGCUAGGGACAAUGGCGAUGAUAGCUCCAGUGCAUCUUCUGUAAAUGUUUCAAAACCACAUGUGCAGAAUGUCAAUGGCUUCUCUUCGCAAAUUCCUUGUCUUCCCGGUGUUCCCUGGCCUUAUCCAUGGAAUGCAGCAGUUCCCCCACCGCCUUUUUGUCCUCCAGGAUUUCCUCUAUCAUUUUGUCCUGCACCUUAUUGGAACUGUGGUGUGCCCGGCACUUGGAACGUUCCUUGGUUUGGUCCACAACCCGCUUCUCCAAACCAAAAGUCUCCCCGCUCUGGUUCAAAUUCUCCAACAUUGGGGAAGCACUCAAGGGACGAAGACGUUCUAAAACCAGAAAUUUUGGAGAAAGAAGAGCCAUCAAGACAGAAAAAUGGAUGUGUUUUGGUUCCAAAAACAUUAAGGAUUGAUGAUCCGAGGGAAGCUGCAAAGAGUUCAAUAUGGGCAACGCUCGGAAUCAAGAACGAUUCCAUCAGUGGCGGAGGGUUGUUUAAGGCUUUCCAGUCAAAGAGUGACAAAAAGAAAACCGUUUCUGAAUCCUCUCCCGCUUUGCGAGCAAAUCCAGCUGCGUUGUCUAGAUCCCUCAACUUUCAUGAGAGCUCAUGAAGUAGCUAGCUAGUCAAGUAGCCACGAGUUUUGGCAGAACCCCAUCCAGCUAAAGGCCAUUUUAGUUGAGCCGGUCGAAUCCGGGAUGCGGAAUCAGAGGGGCUGUCUCUACUCUCUAGGGUUCCUCAGUAUGAUAGGGGAACUAAUGUAGGAUAAAGCUCUAGUGGCAACUAUUUUUGCCUCCUUGUAAUGCACAGGAUAAAGCUCUGAUGUACUUAGUUUUCCUGAGUUCGUGUUCAUGUACAUGUCUAUAUCUCUAUAUAUGUGAAAUUCAAAGAUCUUUUUGUUCUCUUUUUUCUAUCAUUCUCCUUCAUCUAAAGUUCUAAACUGCAUAAACAAGUAUCUUCUCUAUAAAACCAAGAAAAAACAUUCAUGAGAUCCAAUCCGAGUAUCUUUUCUUGUGGGCCAAGGACCUGCAAUUGGGACGCUAUUGUAGCAAUAAUUCAACUGAUCAAGUAGUGUAGCGUUUAACUUUUAUAGGUAAUACUGGUUAAUUAGUUCGAGAUACCGUCACAAUGACGUUUUCGUUAACAGUUAAGUUGUUUGCAACAUUCAUAUCUUACCAGCCACUCUUGUGGGGCUAAAAUGGAGAUGGCGACUGUAAAGGUCGUACCCAGUGCACAAGGUUCCCGUUUUACGCAGGGUCUGGGAGAGGUGAAUGUCGGCUAGCCUUACCCCAAAAUGGAGAUGGCGACAAACCAACAAAAUUGUUCUUUAUUCCUAACAAGGGCCAAAUUGCCUUUCCCUUUCACCACCAAAGGAUAUGAACAACUUGCACAAAAGUUUGGUUGCAGACUAUCCGAUAUUAUCCUACUCUCCUUUUUCUCAUUGUUUUCUUCUCAUUUUUAGUAAUUACGCUUACAAAACAAGUAAGUUCAAGCCUAAGAAAGAAUAAACCAACACAACUGGUGUUUUUUUUCUUUUGGGUUCAACCAAUUUUAGUAAAAAUGUUUUUGGUACCAAUCUUUAACACAAAUGAAAAUGAAUCUUGGAAAAAUACUUCAAAACCAGCCCACAAUUGUUGAAGCCAUAAAUUGCCAACCUACAUGAGAAGAAAAUUUUGAAACUAUGGUACGCUAUGGUAUUGUAUCAAAGAAACUAUGGAUGCCCUAUUAACGACUACUCGUUAAAACGAAUCAUUUCAGACAGAUGCCCUAUUAAUUUGAGCCAUAAAAAGUGCACUAAUUAAAACCAAACUUAUCCCCCUCUAACUAGCCCGUGACAGAAACUUGGAAUGUUUCUCCUUUGAUAAGAAACUAUGGAUAUUAGGAUUACUUGGUGAAAUACAUCUUUACCUAAUUUUCUUUGCAAAGCACAUGGUUUGACGCAUCAACAUCAGUGAUGUAUGUGUGUCUCAAAUCAAUCACCAAUUUAAAACACAGAUAUUUUGGUGCAACAGGCAAAUGCAGGCCACAUUUUUUUGUAAAUAUGAGUUAUUAAAUGGGACCCUAAUUCCACACAUAAUGCCAUGAAUCAUUUGGCGCUCUCUCUCUCUCUCUCUCUCUCUCUCUCUCUCUCUCUCUCUCUCAUCUGAAAAUCAACUUACACAAAAUAAGUUCACCGAUAUGCAUCAUCUUGAUCCAAUAAUCUAGUAAUAUGCAGAGUAAAAUUUAAACAUAAUAUUGUGUUAUUGAAUCAAAAUGUUAUAACAACGAUGAACUUAUCCUCUCUCGCUUUCGCUUUUUCUGUUUGUUUCUUCCUUUUCUUGCUCUUUUCCUUCAUCUUAUACGAAAGCAAUUGCCCCUCUAUUCUCAUCCACAUACCUAAUUUUAAAGCUUUGUGUGGGAGACCAAAGAAGAUAAAAAUGACAUAUUGUGCUCAAAAUUCUAGUGGCAAAUUUGGUGGUCUUGCUAAAUGGUGUGUUUCCAAUUAUGAAGAAUUGAGCCUUCUUUCUAGCUAACAACCCUAAAAGGUCUCUCUGUAGAGAAAUGAAAAGGGAGGAGAAAGGGUUUGGUUAAGUCAUGUCAUGUCAUUUUUCUGCUUCAACAGACUAACAUGGAGCUCUCCCAUUUUUCUCAAAAACCUACAUUUUACAAGGGAAAGAACAAAAAGAAAGAAAAGGCAACAAAAAGGGCAAACGAACCUAAACACACCGAGCAGAAACGGAAGCAUGACUGGCUGGGGCGUCCUACAACUUCCAACCCACCUAGAUUCGAAAAUAUCUCCCCUAGUUUGAGUAUUAUAAAACGAUUAGAAAGAGCGUUCCCUAUCUUAAAGAUUUAUCAAAUAAAGAAAAGUAAAAAUAAAAGAAUACAAGUGGAAGACGAAGACUAAACCUGCAAAGAGAAAAACAAAGAAACAUUGAUCCCCUAGUUACCAAAAACAAAUAAAUCUAGUCUAAUCCCAUCACUAAUCCUCUCACCUAGAAGGUUCACACCCCUUGAUUAAUAUAAGAACAAAGCUUGGCUACCUGAAAAAAAACAGGAGCUCCUACUCUCACUCAAUAACAACUUGACAAGUGUGUGUUAUUAGUUCAAGUUUUAUUUUUUGCAAUUUUGUAGACACUUGUUAAGUUAUUAUUGGAUGAGAGAAUGAGCUCCUACUUUUUUUUAAGGAAAAUGAAUUGAAAACUUUGAGUUUUAAUGAUAAAGAAAAAAUAAAUGGUAAAAUGAAUAGUAGUAUGAUUGGCUUUUUAGUGUAAAAAUAUGAUUUUUCGUUAAAGUAAACAGUACCGGAAAUUUUUCGUUAAAGUUCUAUUUUUUUUAAGCAGCCAAGUUUUGUUCUUAAUAUAAUAUGAGGCUAGGUAGAGAACCACUUAUUUUAUUUGCUCAUUAUUUUUUGAACAUGGUGGAUCCUUAACAAACCAAACCCAAUCUUCUGCAUGUUUAAUUAUUACAGCACCAAAUUAUCUGUGAUUUUACCAUCUCCCAUUUGGCUCAGUUUACAUGGAUUAAAAAUUUGCAGUAGAAAAGAGUUUUUUUUUUUUUUUGGAAAGCUGCAGUAGAAAAGAGUUUGGUCAACAAUUUUAACCUCUAUAUUUCCACUUUUUCCAUGAUAAAAAUAAAUGCUAAUAACACUUUACACACUUAAGAAUUGAGGUGAUUUUUAAAAUGCAUUGUGAGAUUUUAGUUUUCUUGCAUUACUCUUUAAAUUUUGAAAUUGUAUAAGUUAACAACUUUUAAAUAUUUGAACGUCUAAAUAUUUGUUUAAUUGAUGAUUUUUUUGGUCAAUAUGGUGCAAAUGUUGUUUACGACGUGUCUCGCAAUUAUGGGUUUUAUACUCCCCAUGUCAUCAAUUUAAUGAAAUAUUCAAACAAUUCAUGAGACAAAAAGAAUAAAUUAAUACAAUUUCAAAAUAUUAGAGAGCAAUGUGAGAAAAAUAAAACAGCAAUAUGAGAAAAUUAAAACGAAUGAGGAUCCGGUGUCCGUUCAUCGUAUAUUGUGCGAUCAUUUUUCAUCAGAUACUAUUUGUAUUUAAUUUUAAAUAAAAAUAUUUAAAAUAAUUUCUGAUUACAUGAUGUACGAUAAAUUAACACGAUGUGAAUAUCUCCGACAUCCUCACAAAAAGAAUCCGAAAGAAUCCUCAUUCAAUUAAAACCUCGUUGCCUAUUUUAAAAACCACUCAAAAUAUAACAAGUGUGAAAUGUAUUUAGCCCUAAAACUAAAGCUGAUAUUGACUUAGAAAAGUAGGUUUUGGCAUGUUGGGAGUAAUAGUCAAAGCCCCCGCUCUCACUUAUCCUCUAUUUUAGUUCUCUUUUAUAAUACCAUUCAAAGUCAUCCAAGUUGUAUAGAAAUUGAGGGGGAAAAUGUACCUAUGUGUUAGGGACGGAUAACUAUUAUUAUUGAAAGAAAUGUUGAAUUCACUUAAAUUAAUUACUAUUUUUUUGGUAAAUAAAUAUAUUGAAGAGAAAAAAAUUAAAGAGCUGUAGCCAAAAAAAAAAAAAAAAAAAACAAAACAACUGUCAACAAUGCUACACCAAAACAGCAACAACAAACACUAACUAUUCAUAAGUUAAGUUUCGGCAAUCUAAGCCUAAGUUUCGGCAAUCCUUCAUUGCAGAUGAUUGCUAUAGAGGUUUUGUCUUUAUUAAUCACUUCAAACAUACAAGCUAGCCAAAAUUUUAGGAUAAGUUUUAGCAAUCUAAGCCUAAGUUUCAGCAAUGUAAGCCUAAUUACUAUUAAAUAUAGUGUGUAAACAAUAUUAGUUUUCGAGUUAUCCACAAGUGUUGAUUACAUUUUUUCUAUUAGUGAAAUAUUAUAUUAUUUGCAAAUGUAGUUCGAAUUCUUAGAAUAUCACUGCUUAGCUUUCAAUUCACAUUUGAUCAUCAAAUGAAAUGUGAAUGACUUAUUCUCAACCAAUGUAUACUAUGCGUCGAACUUUACUUAUAGUAAUUAUAUCUUUUACUCUUAGUUAUUCAUGGAUGAGAAUUCUCUCUGAAUCUUCUUUGUGAGGAUCUUCACAUCCUAACUGUACAUUGUAGUUCGUGCAGUCAGUUUUUGUCAGGUACUAUUCGUGUUUAAUUUUAAAUAAAAAUUUCAAAAUGAAUUCUAAUUGCACAAUGUAUAAUGAACAAAUAAGAUGUAAAAAUUUCUAAAAUUCCCACGAUUUAAAUCCGAAUGAAAUCCAAAUUCUUUAUCCGCAAGAGUUUGCAUCUUCAAUCUUGGAGUUGAAGCUUUUUAAGCCUAAAAAGUUAGAAAGAAGUCAAAAAGCAGAACAUCAGUGUACAAUGUAUGCUUCAAAUACACUUUAUGAGAUCAAUUGGGAGUUAGGACACGUGUAGGGGCACUAAAGUGAAGGUCCAAAUGAGAAUACUAGAGAGAAGAAAAAUCAAAGUGUAUGCCUCCCUUUCUCCUAACUUAUUCUAACAUUUUAAAUUUAAAUGCUUAGUGCAAAAAGCAUAUGACAUUUUACCGCAUUAGCAAAAUGCAUUUAUGUUUAUACAUUUAAAUGCGGAUUCAAUUUUUAUUAAUUUUUCGUCCUGAACAACCAAUAAUUUAACUCAUUAACAUCAUCAUUUGUAAAAACAGUGUUUGUACCAUACUUGACCAAUCCCGAAACUACCGAGCACCGGCCAGCGCUAUACUGUCAAGGACCCAGAAGAGUUCCCCUUCGACCAGGAGGCCAAUCACUACUCGACACGUGUCAAGAUUAGAAGCCAAUCAGAGCGCAGCACGUGUCGACAUCAAGAACCAAUCAUAACAUGACACAUGUCAAUGUGACAAAGCUACAAGUUUUUCUAUAAAUAGGGGUCAUUCCCCCACAAUAUGGCCUAAUGCCAUUUUGUGUUAAAUCAUUCACAAGAACUCACUAAAUUGAGAGCUUGAUCCUUUGUACUUGUGUAAGCCCUUCACUACUAAUAAGAACUCCUCUACUCCGUGGACGUAGCCAAUCUAGGUGAACCACGUACAUCCUGUGUUUGCUUCUCUGUCUCUAUUCAUUUACGUACUUAUCCUCACUAGUGACCGAAGCAACCAAGCGAAGGUCACAAAACCUGACACUUUCUGUUGUACCAAAGUCUUCGCUGAUUUUUGUGCAUCAACAUUUGGCGCCGUCUGUGGGAAACGACACUUAUUCCUACUCUCUUCAGCUGUGUCAAGCUGGUUUCUAUCAUUCGUACACUUUCUUUUGAUCAGGCAUCCCUCUCCAACAUGGGAAGCGAAGGAAGCCACAGCACACAGAAUGACACCCCCCUUGCACAUAGUGCGAAACAACGAAAGAAGGAAGGAAAACGAGUUCUUCUUCAAGCUAAAGUCGAUGAGUUGGAAGCUCAGAACAACAAGAUAGCAAUGAGGAAUGAGGUCCUCCAGGAGCAAUAUGAGAAGCUCUUCGAGACACUCCACGAAGCUAGGCAAGCUCAGACACGCGAGCUUGUUGCCCCCGUGGAAGUCAACCAUCAACUGGGUGCCCCCAACAUGGAGGGUCACACAUGCAUUCGACAUAGAUAUCCCUGAUAGGGAACAGAUUACCCCUCGACUUGAUAAUCAACAUGAGGCUUCUCUUAACCCAGUUGCUUCGACCCGAACCAUGAGAAGUGGAGGGAGACACCUCUUUGCUGAAGGGGCAGAAGGAUCGAAAGCCGUCUUUUGCGAUUGUCGGGAUUUCCUGAAGCAACGUCGAGAGAAUUCCAUCCAUAUAAGCUCAAAGAUCAAUGACCCAAGGAUUUCUGAGAGACUCGGUCCCCUGCCACGGCCCGAGCCGGCCACCAAUUUGGGGAAGGGGCAACAAGUCCUAGAGAGACAUGAGGGUACAGGGGACUCAGAGGUGUUCCGACAGACAUACCCUGGAAGCCAGUACAACGAGUCCAGGGAAAAAUCACAUGCCCUUGAUCAAACCUUCCUAAUUCCAAGAGGAGAUGGAGAUUUACGAAAGAAAGCUCCAGUGGCACAUAACUCCUCUCAGGACCCCCUUGUCCUACAACUUAUUGAGGAAGUAAACAAGUUGAAGGCUGAACGUCAGGCUGAAAUACCUGACUGGAACCAACCCAGGCCUGGCCCUCUUACAAGGAGGAUCCUCAACACCCCCCUUCAAGCAAAGACAAAGCAAAAGCUUGGCUUGCAACUUUAUACUGGAAAAGAGGACCCGAUUGAGCACCUUAACCUCUUUGAGUCCACCAUGGCAUACCGGAUGCACACCGACGAAGAGCGAUGUCUUCUCUUCCCCUCCACCCUCUCUGGCGGAGCUCUAAAUUGGUAUUGUCGUCUUACACCUGAGACGGUAGACUCAUUUGAGGGAAUUGAGGAAACUAUUUUGUUUCCCAACACAUUUUCCAAACCGAUCGCUUGCACUCUGCAGAUGACCUGUACACUAUCCGCCAGAAGCCAGACGAGUCAUUACGUAUGUAUGCUGGCCGCUUCAGCCAUGAAUACUCUCGGUGUGCCGAGGCAGACGACAAGACUGCCCUUAAAGCCUUCACGGCAGGCCUACGUGAUUGUUUCUUUAAAUACAUGAUCAAUGCCAAUACUUGGAAGACUUACUCUGAGGUGAUGGCGCAUGCUUAUAACCAUGCCUCCGCCGAGGCAAAGACAUAUCAGGAGAAACCCCCUACAACCAUCCUUUAUCAACAAGUGGGAGGUGGAAGCCAGACUCACCUAAAUGAGAAGACCUCGACUUUCCAAACAGCAGUGGCACCUCCCCAUGCCUUGCAUAAUGCUUCGCCGAAUCAACAGACAUAUCAAUUUCAAGGCAAGAGGAAGGAUUUCCAUCCUCACCACUCUCAUUUCAGUAAAAAGAGUAAGGGACACUAUCCCGAUAACCAAGGGUAUCGCCACAAUAACGCUCGCCCCCAGGCAGUCAAUGCAGUGGGUCAAACCCGCGUCAAGAUACCCCUACCCCCAAGGUAUGAGACAUACACGCCCUUGAAUGCCACAUGCGCGGCCAUUUACCCCAGCAUAGCUCACCUGAUACCAAAGCCAAAGCCGAGGCACCCAGAUUACACGCCCCCCGAAUAACGCGGGCAUGUUUUGUUGCUACCAUGAGCAUAACGGCCAUGAUAGCGAGAAAUGUAUCAUCCUCCGUGAUCGUAUUGAAGCUUUGGCACGAGAAGGAAAAAUUGAUCAAUUCCUCCUUCACCCUCAAAGGGAUAACCGUAACCAACGCCAGGUGAAUGUCAUAUAUUCCAUAAGCGGCGGCACACCCAUAUCUGAAUCUUCCAAUAGGGCCAUGAAAAACAGUGAACGAAUUCUGAGGCCUGGUCACCAAGUGUUUCACGUGGAAGACAUCAGGGGAGGGAAGUAUCAAAAGCCUAACUGGGAUCCGAUAUGUUUUCUACCCUGAGGAAGAAAGAGGCAUCAUCUACCCUCAUAACGACCCAUUGAUCGUGGAGGCUCACAUAGCCAAUUUUGAUGUUCGACGAAUCCUCGUAGACACAGGGGCUUCGGUCAAUAUCAUGUUUGCCGAAGCUUUCAGGGCACUCAGUGUAGCUGAACACUUGCUCGAUCGCUCGAUUUCUCCUCUGAUAAGCUUCUCCGGUGAUAUCGUGCAACCCUUAGGGAGCAUACAUUUACCCUUUACUAUUGGUACAGGCCCUUACACGGCUACCAUUACCACUAACUUCCUAGUGGUUGACUGCCCAACGGCAUACAAUGUCAUCUUUGGGCGCACAGGCAUCAAUGAUCUCAAGGCUAUGGUAUCCACGCAUAUGCUGUUGAUGAAAUUUCCAACCCCCCAUGGCAACGGCUACAUCAGAGGAGAUCAGCUUAGUGCACGAUCAUGUUACAAACACUUCAGUUAAGCAACAACACUUGCCCGGACCCAAGGAAACCCUGUCUGUACAUGACCAAGUCACAAAGACCAGCCUAGAUGAAGCGAACUUGGAUCUUCCUGAUAGCAACAAUCAACCCGAUGAUCCUCGAGAUGACUCUUUCACCCAGCAAGCCCAACCUGCUGAAGAGUUGGAGAAGGUACCUAUCUCAAGAGAUUAUCCAGAUCGCAUGGUGAAGAUUGGCACCACAUUGUCACCACCCCUUCGGUUAGCAUUGAUAUCUUUUUUUGAAAAGAGAACACUGAAGUCUUCGCCUGGUCAUACGAGGACAUGCCAGGCAUCUCUCCCGAUGUCAUCUGUCAUCGUUUGAGUAUUGACCCCAAGAUCAAGCCGGUGAGACAGAAGCGAAGAUCUUAUGACGCUGAACGAUACGAGGCAAUGAAAGCAGAAGUUGAAAAACUCAAAGGCAUAGGCUUUGUCCGCGAAGUCAAUUACCCCAACAUGGGUAGCAAAUGUGGUCCUUGUUAAGAAAAAUCUGACCAAAGAAAGUCUUUGCUUCAAAAGGUCUUGUGGAGAAUGUGUGUUGACUACACCGACCUAAACAAAGGGUGUCCGAAAGAUAGCUUUCCCUCUUCCUCUUAUUGACAGACUUAUAGACUCUACUGCCGGGUGUGAACUCCUGAGCUUCAUGGAUGCUUACUCAGGAUACAACCAAAUCCUCAUGAACCCUUCGGAUCAAGAACACACAGCCUUCACUACCGACAGAGGACUAUACUGCUACAAAGUCAUGCCUUUCGGCCUAAAGAAUGCAGGAGAGCGACUUAUCAGAGACUAGUCAACUCAAUGUUCGCCGAGCAGAUUGGGAAGAGCAUGGAAGUUUACGUUGAUGAUAUGUUAGUCAAGAGCAAACAUGCUGACCAACACAUCACCAACCUAUAUGAAACUUUCACUAUUUUGAAGAGGUAUCGAAUGAGGUUAAACCUCAACAAAUGUGCCUUCGGCGUAGGCUCUGGCAAAUUCUUAGGUUUCAUGAUUAGCCAACGAGGCAUUGAAGCUAAUCCCGAGAAGAUCAAAGCAAUCCUCGACAUGAAGGAACCGGUAACUUCAAAGGACAUCCAGAGCCUUACUGGCAAGGUGGCAGCCUUAACCAGGUUCAUUUCUAAGGCCACAGACAAAUGUGCUCCCUUUUUUAAAGCACUUAAGGGAAGUAGGAAGUACAUUACAUGGACUGAUGAAUGUGCCGAGGCAUUCAAAAACCUCAAGGAGUACAUGAGUAAAGCCCCUCUACUCUCCAAGCCCGAGGUAGGAGACAUUCUCAUUAUCUACCUAUCGGUAUCAGCUUCAACCGUAAGUUCCGUUCUCAUUCGAAAAGAUGGGAAUAUUGAGCGACCUGUCUACUACGCUAGCAAAGCCUUACAAGAUGCGGAGACACGGUACUCUAACAUUGAGAAAUUGGCUCUGGCAUUGGUCAUGUCUGCUCGAAAACUCCGCCCUUACUUCCAAGCGCACUCCAUCAUCGUGCUUACCAAUUAUCCUCUUCGACAGAUACUCCAAAGUCCUGACACUUCAGGGCGAAUGAUCAAAUGGGCAAUAGCGUUGGGUGAGUUUGACAUCUCCUACCAACCAAAGCCAGCUGAGAAGGGCCAAGCAGUAGCAGAUUUCAUCGCCGACUUCACAUAUCCUGUUGACAUUGCUUCUACACCUGAAGCAGUAGCUUCAUUACCAUCGGAAGCUCAGAAAGUAGAAUCAACGACCUCAGCAUGGAGUCUGUAUGUUGAUGGCUCAUCCAACCAACAGGGCUGUGGAGCGGGACUAGUCUUGACUACGCCCGACAAAGUGCAAUGGAGUAUGCUCUUCGUUUCAAAUUCAAGGCAUCAAACAAUGAGGCCGAGUAUGAAGCCCUUCUAGCAGGAUUACGUUUUGGCCAAACACCUCGGGGUUAAACAAAUUGAUAUUUUCAGUGACUCCCAAUUAGUGGUCAACCAGGUUACCAACAACUUUGAUGCUAAGGACAGCUCCAUGGCAGCAUAUCUUGCGCAAACACAACUUUUGCUCAAGCACUUCCACUACCAGAUCACCCAAGUUCCUCGAGCGGCAAACAGUCAUGCAGACGCCCUGGCUCGCCUCGCCUCAGCUGUGGAAGACAAGAUUGGAAGAAAAAAUUCAUGUCGAACUAUUGGCAACACCAAGCACCAUGGCCGCAGAAGUAUGCAACUUACAACAGGGGAUAGUUGGAUCACCCCGAUCUAUAAUUUCCUUGCUCAUGGCACCCUCCCAAAUGAUAAAGUCCAGGCUAAGCAAAUUCGAUACAAGUCUACCCGCUACCUGAUCAUCAAUGAUCAACUCUAUAAGCGAGGUUUUAGCCUGCCAUACUUAAGGUGUUCUUACGCCUGCCGAGGCGGAAAUCGUCCUUCGGGAAAUACAUGAGGGAGUCUGUGGAGAUCAUGCUGGAUUUCGGUCCCUAGCACACAAGACUUUUCGCCAAGGAUAUUACUGGCCAACACUCCACCAGGAUGCCAUCAAAGUAUCCCGCUCAUGUGAUAAAUGUCAACGAUAUGCGACUAUUCCUCAUUCCCCUCCAGAGCCUCUUACUCCUAUGAUCAGCCCUUGGCCCUUCGCCCAGUGGGGACUUGAUUUGAUCGGCCCAAUGCCGGCAGGGAAGGGCAAAGUCUGUUACGCAGUCGUUGCAGUGGACUACUUCACAAAGUGGGCCGAAAUAGAACCCUUGGCAACCAUUACUGAGGCAAAGAUAGAAGACUUCGUGUGGAAGAACAUCCUUUGUAGAUUCGGCAUUCCCAAUGCGAUAGUCACUGACAAUGGGCGACAGUUUGACAACAAGAAGUUCAGGUUGUUCUGCUCUAAGUUCAACAUCAACUUAUGCUUUGCCUCUCCAGCUCAUCCCCAGUCUAAUGGACAAGUUGAGGCCAUCAAACAAAAUAAUCAAGCGCACUUUGAAAACCAGCUUGGACAAAGCUAAAGGCUGUUGGCCAGAAUUUGUACCCCAAGUUCUUUGGUCAUAUCGCACUUCAUAUCGGACUUCAACAGGGAGAAACUCCAUUCUCACUUGCCUUUGGCACAGAGGCGGUUGUCCCUGUUGAGCUCGAGCAAGCAACAUUCCGAGUCCAGAACUACAUUCAAAGUGAAAAUGACAAACAACUCACCCUCAACUUGGAUUUAGUCGAGGAACACAGAAACCAAGCUCACUUGAGGAAUGUCGCCUACAAGCAGCGCAUCUCCAACUAUUAUGACUCUAGGGUCAAGCCUCGUUCUUUCAAAAUAGGAGACUGGGUCUUAAAGAAAAGAUUACUCUGCGACAGAGUCCCGAGUGAAGGCACACUUAGUCCAAACUGGGAUGGACCGUAUGAAGUCAUUGGCAUCAGUCGCCCUGGCUCUUACACACUUAGAAGCUCCGAUGGCAAGACCCUUGGCCAUCCAUGGAACGCUGAUCACUUGAAGUACUACUACAAAUAGACUCACGAUGUACAAGUGUUGAGCUAUAGCCGUUUUGGCAUCCUAUGUAAUGAAGGCCAUUUGGCAAUGAAUUCAAUAAAGAGGUAAUUUAGCCAACUCAGCCCUCACUCUUUUACAUUCAUAGCAAGCGAUGCCGGGAACCCUUCUCAAUCAGAAAGCAAUCUGUCUUCCACAGUCACUAUUAAACAAGCAAAUGAAGACCGUGUCAAGCGCCAAAAAAAAAAAAAAAAAAAAAAAAAAAAAAAAAAACAACUUCAUCCAAAAAGCUUCACCCGAAAAGCUUCACCUCCAAAGCUUCACCACAAAAGCUUCACCCAAAAAGCUUCACCCAAAAAGCUUCACCCAAAGCUUCACCUAAAAAGCUUCACCCCAAAAGCUUCACCUAAAAAGCUUUUACCCAAAAAGCUUCACCAUCAAAGCUUCACCUAAAAAAGCUUCACCCAAAAAGCUUCACCCGAAAAGCUUCACCUAAGAAGCUUCACCCAAAAAGCUUCACCCGAAAAGCUUCACCUAAAAAGCUUCACCCACAAAGCUUCACCUAAAAAGCUUCACCCAACAAGCUUCACCCGAAAAGCUUCACCUCCAAAGCUUCACCCACAAAGCUUCAACACCAAAGCUUCACCUACAAAGCUUCAACACAAAACCUUGCUCCAAAUAAACAAAUUUUGUUCACAAAACCCAAGAUGCCCUUGAACUUGUACAAAAAACACUUGGGUAAACAUAAACAUUUUUUGUUUUACACCCACAAGGGCCCAAAAUUUUCCUUCUUAUUUAUUCACUUAUAUAUGUUCCCAAACAUAUUAUAAUAGAUCCAACAACAAGCCAAAGUCCCAAAUUUCAUAAUGGACAAAGGUACAAGCAAUUCAUCAAUAAUGAAGGUGCUACAAAAAUUGGAAUCUGCCCCAAAAUAGAAAUCCAACCCAAGAGACUUUUUUUUCUCUCUCCCUCUUCCGCCUCCUUUCAUCUAUCAAAUUUCUGCAACCUCUGCUCUUCUCCAAUGGAGCUGAAUUUUGGACACCCUAUAGUUCUUGAGCAUAUGAACAACUUUCAAGAAGGAACCAUUUCUGUUUGAGCGACGGAAAUUAAAGUGUUGAAGCUCCAAACAUGAUAGUCGGCUUCUUGCAGAUUUCGAAGCUGUUGUGAUGUUUCGAAGAUCUGGAAAUAUUUAACCGUUAGUUCAUCCUGAAUUUUUGAUAUGUUAUGAAAGAGUCGAUGAGGAACAACUUCAAUGAAGAAAGCAUACCGAUCUGAACAAGAGAAAAUGGAGUUUCGAAGCUCACAACAAAUCUGACGGGUUGACAGACAAAUAAUAACCAGUCAUUCAUCAUACCUGAAUUUCUUGAGUUAUACAGCUCCGAGGGAUCUCAAAUUUGGAUAUGUUGUAGUUCACAAGCUGAGGAACAACUUCAAUGAAGAAAGCAUACCGAUCUGAACAAGAGAAAAUGGAGUUUCGAAGCUCACAACAAAUCUGACGGGUUGACAGAAAAAUAAUAACCAGUCAUUCAUCAUACCUGAGUUGCUUGAGUUAUACAGCUCCGAGGGAUCUCAAAUUUGGAUAUGUUGUAGUUCACAAGCUGAGGAACAACUUCAAUGAAGAAAGCAUACCGAUCUGAACAAGAGAAAAUGGAGUUUCGAAGCUCACAACAAAUCUGACGGGUUGACAGAAAAAUAAUAACCAGUCAUUCAUCAUACCUGAGUUUCUUGAGUUAUACAGCUCCGAGGGAUCUCAAAUUUGGAUAUGUUGUAGUUCACAAGCUGAGGAACAACUUCAAUGAAGAAAGCAUGCUGAUCUGAGCAAGAGAAAAUAGAGUUUCAAAGCUCACAACAAAUCUGACGGGUUGACAGACAAAUGAUAAACAGUCACUCAUCAUACCUGGAUUUCUGGAGUUGUACUGCUCCGAUGGCUCUCCAAUUUGGAUAUGUUUGUAGUUAAGGAAUUAACGAACAACUUUCAUGAAGACAACUUUGUGAUUCGACCUACAGAUGAUGGUGUUAUGUUGAAAAAACAAUUCCGGUUGUUAGGGGAAAUGAAAAACAAUUCCACCAAAGAAACAUCAUUAUGAUGUUUCAUCAUUAUGGUGUUUUCAUCAUUUAUGAUGCUUUCAUCAUUGUGAUGCUUCCAUCCAUUGUGAUGCUUUCAUUAUGAUGUUAAUGCACCAACGGUUACACCUUCUGCAAUUCCACUUUAUCGGGCCUAGCAACCUUCAUCAACAAAAUCUAUGAAGAAAAAGUCCGGGGCUACCACUUAGAAAACAAAAGAAUGAAGUUUUGGUACUUACGGCAUGGACUAUUAGCAAGACACCUCAUUCGUCAACUCCCUCGACUAGAGACUUGGGGGACUCCCACCAUAUGCUACUACGCCUUGGUACUCAAAAGUUCGUGACUACUCAGUGACUUGGAUUUUUCAAGUCUCCAACCGAGAAGUUUUCCUCACUCGGGAAAUUAAGGGAACACUACCUCAAACUACAUGCUUCACUCACAAAGCUUCAACAAUACAGGUUUCAACAAAAGCAAAAAUUCAAAGAACUUUAUGAAGAAGGCUUUGGUGUAUUUAACACAAUAUGUUGAAAUGAAGCAAAGCUUAUUUAUUAAUAUUUUCGAUAAGCCACAAAUAUGUACAUAUACAUGAGUCAAAAUAAACAAACAAAAGGGAGCCUUCACAAAGGUUGCUUAGGGAAGUCUCAGCAGUCGGUAGAGCCCCAGAAAGAGAAAGCACCGGAGGGUGGUUAUCCGGAGCCUCAGUACUUGACAAAACCCCAGAAGGAGGAGGCAUUGGAGGUUCAUCAUUUGAAGCUUCAUUACCAGGUACAGCCCCAGAGGACGAAGGCAAUAAAUGCCUUUGGAACAAACCCACAAACCGCUGAUGAUCAAGUAAAACCUUACCAUCAGAUUCCUUCAUCUGGUCAAGCUUCCUCUUCAUGUUUGUAGCAUAGUCAUGGGCGAGCCGGUGCAACUGCUUAUUCUCAUGCUUGAGCCCUCUAAUCUCCUGUUUGAGACUCAUCACUUCAGCAGCCAAUGAUUCAACUUGGCGGGUUCUAGCAAAAUAGGCGUUGGGCCAUAUUAGACACAGAACCUGCACACUGAACACUAAGAGCCAGAGAGUCCUUAACAGCCAACUCAUCAGACCGUUUGGAAAGUAGUCUAUUAUCUUUGGGAGUGAGAAGGUUCCUGGCCACCACUGCAGCGGUCAUAUCAUUCUUCAUCACAGAAUCCCCAACGGUAAGAGGACCAGUAGGGGAUAUGAAGGAUGGGCGCCAUAUGUUGUCUGGAGAAGGCGUGGCUGUCUCUUCUCCAAGGUUCAAGUCAAAACGACGGUCGGAGGGUCCAGACAUUUUCAAAUGUGUUGAAGAAGGAAGAGGUCAGACAAAUCAAGAUCUUAGAAGUGCAAGAAAUGAGCUUCUACUGGUAGAGAUUCAAGUGUGGCUGUGGAACUUAAUGCCAGCUCUAUAAAAAUCUGCACUCGACGGAGCUUCAGAAAUCGAAGAGGCGUUUGCUUUCUCAAAAGCUGGGCUGCUCAGAGACCACAAGGGCCGAUCUCAGAAAUCGAAGAGGCGAAUGCUUUCUCAAAAGCUGGGCUGCUCAGAGACCACGAGGGCCGAUCUCAGAAAUCGAAGAAGCACCUGCUUUUGCAGCCUCGUCAGCACCUGUCACAUGCACAAUCAGCUUUGCGGAAAUUACGGGCAAUCUGUCGAAGAUUUCUGGUGAAGUAGAAAGCACGUGAAUCUUACUGAUCAAUCACCGCUCUCCAUAUGCACCAUCAACUCCUCGGGUACCACAUAUAACUUUGUCAAAGAUCUCUGACAAAGUUUAGGCACGAGAAUUUCGAAGUGCCAGCUACCCUACUAUUACCCAUAAGGGUAAAGGAACAGCACCACUGCUUGACAACUGGAAAGUCCCUAUGUGUGUCGACCUCCGUGUUUUGUGGCAAGACAGGUUGGCAAGAACGACCAACCUUUACUCACAUUCGAGAAAAGACUCCCAACAUAAUUACUUUCUCAAAAACCGGAGUAGCACCGCUUUCCGAAUCUCGAGAGUCAGAUCCUCGACGGGAUUGCUUGUUCGAAAACCGAAGAGGCACAACUCUCAGAACUUCGAGAGCCAGAUUUCCUUAGAUAAAGCUUGUCUGUAAUCUCCACACGUAAUAUCAGCUUUCCAGAUACCACAUACCACUUUUUCAAAGUGCUCUGACAAAAUUAAAACACGUUGAAGCUGGCAGCUCCCACUACAUUGCUGUGACCAAGAAGGGUAAAGGAAUAGCAUUACUACUUGUUAUUGGGAAAUCCCUAUAUACAUUGACCUCCCUCCUCAACGGACAGGCAAACCUGCAAAAAUGCUCAACCCUUUCUCACAUUCGAAAAGGCACCCUCAACAUAACCUCUCGAAAUACUCAGCUUUAUUUCCCCCUGAUAAUACCUCAGCAAAUAAGCCACACCAAGAACAAGAGUAUAUCUCAUAUCAUCAGGGUCGAAAGCAAGAGUAUCCCAUAUCAUGCUUUCUCCCUGUCUUUGUCUUUGUCCUUGUCCACACCUGCAGGACAAGGAGAAAGAGAGCAGUCAGUCGGAACCUGAAAUCAAACCUCCAAUUUGGAACUGACUGCCUGGAGCCUUUGCCUGGUUGCUUACUUAGCAUUGCUCUCGAGUACUCAUCCUCAACUGCUGUCAAGGUCACGAAUUCCACCGGCAAAUACCUCAUGACAGUUGAUCAGAUAUUGGUUCUUUACACUGAAGCUGCCAAGCGUGGAUGAGUCACUAUGAAGGAAUGUUCUGAAGGACCAUUUAAAUGCAAAGGUUGCACACCACUUCUGCCAUGCAAAAGAUUGAAGCAGAAGGUUCAACGGUGAGCUGAAACAGAUCACUACAGCACGACACCUUUCCAUACCACAUUCAUUAUUCCGUCAACAGCAAAAGUAUCCCAUAUCAUCAAGGUCGAACGUACUCUAGAUUUGAUGGACUUGUUUUGACCCUCAAAUUUUUGAGUCGGCCUUAUACUCUGAAGGGCACCAGAAAACCCUCCAGCACAGUUCAAGAAUAAGCCUGUGGAAAGUUACUUCUUCAAAAAGCAAAAGUAUCUCAUAUCAUUUCUUAUCCAUUUGCUUCUCCUUAUCCUGGCAGUUGAAUGAGAGACAAGGAGAAUGAGAACAAUCAACCGGAAGCCGACGUCAAACCUCUGAUCCUGGGUUGCUUACUUGGAAGUUUGACUGCUUACCUUGUCUGUCACCUCUUUCGGCAGAUCUCCUAGCUCGGCGACUUGGGGGACUCCUACUAUAGGGUUUGUAUCACACUUGACUAAGCCCGAAACUACAACUAAGCUUCAAGUGAAAUUGAUACAUUACCUUGUGCGUCAACAUCAGCUAAGUACACCAUUCCCGGAUGGAGGAAAGGUACUUCCAGAGAAGGGCAGAUGAAGAUCAGACCACACUUCGGUACUUAGAAGUUUCGUGAUUACUCAAGGGAUUGGAUCUUGCAAGUCCCCAACCGAGGAGCUUCCCUCACUCGGGAACUUAGGGGAGCACUGUUUGUACCAUACUUGACCAAUCCCGAAACUACCGAGCAACGGCCAACGCUAUACUGUCAAGGACCCAGAAGAGUUCCCCUCCGACCAGGAGGCCAAUCACUACUCGACACGUGUCAAGAUUAGAAGCCAAUCAGAGCGCAGCACGUGUCGACAUCAAGAACCAAUCAUAACAUGACACAUGUCAAUGUGACAAAGCUACAAGUUUUUCUAUAAAUAGGGGUCAUUCCCCCACAAUAUGGCCUAAUGCCAUUUUGUGUUAAAUCAUUCACAAGAACUCACUAAAUUGAGAGCUUGAUCCUUUGUACUUGUGUAAGCCCUUCACUACUAAUAAGAACUCCUCUACUCCGUGGACGUAGCCAAUCUAGGUGAACCACGUACAUCCUGUGUUUGCUUCUCUGUCUCUAUUCAUUUACGUACUUAUCCUCACUAGUGACCGAAGCAACCAAGCGAAGGUCACAAAACCUGACACUUUCUGUUGUACCAAAGUCUUCGCUGAUUUUGUGCAUCAACAAACAGAAAGACCUAGUACAAAAAAGAAGAAAAUGCUUUCAAAAGUAUGACUAUAUGCCACCUCAAGCUCUUUGCACAGUGUUUUAUAAUAUUGACGUGAAAAUUAACGUUAACUGUAAAGUGAUAGAGAGUUGAUGAAAAGUCUAACUUUGAAAAGAGUCUCGUUAACGUUUUUCAAGCACUAAAGAAGAAAGUGCGGAUGCGUUGUUUCACUUGGUUAGAGAAAUGUACUCAAUCUAAAAUUUAAGUUUCACUUGGUUAGAGAAAUGUACUCAAUCUAAAAUUUAAGUUGCAUAAUGAGAGAGAUCGAAAACUAUUGUCUUUGACAGAAUGAAAGAAAUUUUUCUCCUCACAUUAUGAAUCGCGAUAUUAUCGAUUGCAAUUAAAGAUUAUUCCAAAGCAAAGGAGCAUGUAUUUUGCUUCACAAAAUACGGACUGUCCAUUUGUCUUAUGCAACCCAUAUUUGUCAAUGGGAAGAAGAAUGAAGAAAAUGCUGAGCCAAAUUUCUCAUAUAUCAAAAGGCAGGGGAUGACAUUCUGUGCAGUGCAGAUUGAUACAAAUAUUUCCUAUCCGAGUGGGAGAACAUGCAGCAAUACUAGUUUCCAGUUUCCCCUUCAAUGCUAGGAUGAAUUCUACAAGAAGUUACACAACGUCGUAAAUUAGAUAAAUUAGGGAAAGAGAGAAGAGACACAUGGUUCUGAUUUCUUGAAUGGUUUAAGCCACAGCACAGGGUAGCCAUCGCCUUUAGAAUCUCUGGAUCAACUAUCCACUUCCACUAAACACAUUGGACUCGGCCCUCGCAUUAUCAUCCUGCAGUAGAAUCUCUUCCAUUAUCAUACCGCAACUGUACGGUCUGCUGAUUGUUAAGAAUCCUAAGAUAGCUCAAGUAGCGUAGGUAUUUUGGCAUCCCUUUGAAGGUCAGCAAUAUAUAGUAGGAAACUACAGUGUGCUAACAUCUACUGGUGAAGGGUUUCUAUGGAAUGGAGAUACGACCCAAAAUAAAGAUACAAAAAUCAUGUAAAAGUUCAAGGUUCCAAAGGGGAAUGAAGUCCAUACCUGUAAGAUCUGACAGUUUUCGAGCGUACUUUGUCCUCCCUGAAAUGUGAAAAAAUAAAAAAUUAAUCCUCCAAAAUUAGUUUCAGGGAUCAGAGGGCUGGGGGAAACAAAAUAAAGAAACAUUUGUUCAGCUAUCAAGAUUCAUAUUAAAUUGGGAUGACAAAGCAGCCCAUUUCCUGAACUCCUUUGUUUCCCUUAAUAUUCCUUUCCAACCAUAAUCAGCACAAAUGGACACGCAACGAAACAUCUUCAAUGUUGGUUUCCAGACUUUGUUACAAAUUUGCCACGCCAAGACCAGUAGAAUAAUGAGUUCGCCAGAACUUUUCAAUCUGCAAGAAACAGAUUGCAGAACGAGCUUCUUCUUGAAACUUGCUAAGCCGCUCCUCUUUCAAAACAAAUGCCUCAGCCGGUGUGUAUUCAUUACUGAAUUAUCUUCUAGUGCACUGUCAAUCGACUAAAUCCUAAUCAUUUGGAGCCAAGUUGGUAAAAAAAAUUCUCCGGUAAAUCAGGCCUGUAUUACACCUCAAGACUCCUCAUAGGUCUAAACAGUCCUUCAACUAAAUACGUAUCACCAUAAAAAAAGGUUGUACCCAGUGCACAAGGCUCCCGCUUUACGUAUCACCAUAAAUACGUAUCACCAUGAUUAGCCAUAUUCUAUCACAAUCUCUCUGUCACAGUCUAGUUCAAAUUCACAUAAUCCCACAACACCAGUCAUGCCAAGCUGCCACACUCUAUGUCUACGGUCGCAAUCUAACAUGGAAUAUUGGAAUUUGGGACCUCAUAGUCAUUCUGCUCAAUAAACCGCCAUAACAAAACUCCAGAUUACCUUACAUGCAUUUUCCACCAAUGGUGAGAAAAGCUUUCUACCUAAGCUUGUACUAAUAUCUAUCGCCUCCAGUAUCGUACAUGCAUAUAUGCAAGUAUGUAGCUAAACUAAUUAAGCAAAUUCCCUAGCUUCAGCUGCUGUACAAUUACAGUAAGACAAUUACUUGUUCGCGUAUAUAACCAUGUUCCCAAACAACUAUCGGUUUCAUACAACCAUGUUCGCGAAUCGCGUAUAUAAUAAGCAACGGCAUACCACAUAGCUAAAAAAGAGCUCAACUUUUACAGCAUUACUAAUGUAUGAAAUUCAAUAACACAAGCAUUUCCAAAUUGCAUCUUCUUUCACACAAAAUGCUCAAAAUUCCACCCAAAUAAAUAAUAAUGUUCCAUGGGAAAGAGCCACCAAACAAAAAAAGAAAAGCAAAGAACUUUCAAUUUGUAGAAUAAAAUGCAUCCCCAAAACAGAACCUCAAAUCCCAAAUUCAAAGGGAACCCACCCCAUAAAUAUCUUAAAAUUUUGAUCACCACCUGGCACGCGAUAUUUUAUAUUUUUUUUCUUCGAACAAUCGAUAUUAUUUACACUAAGGUAGAUGGGGUGGACUUAACUUCAUAAUGGGUUUGCAAUAAUAUAGUUCAAAUUUGCCUUUAACGAGAAUUGAACAUAAAACAUCUCACUUAAAAGUGAAGAGGAAUACCUUUAGACAGUAGUACUAAAUGGCACCCAUGUUACAUUAAACUAUCAAUAUAUGUUUUAGGGUUAAUCUCAGUUUACUAUCCUCAAGAGUCGUGGUUUUCAACAUUUAGUACAUGAAUUUUUUUUUUGUCCCAGAGUCAUACUUAAAGUGUUAAUUUUGAGACAGUUUCAUACAUCUGUUAAGUUUUCAGUUAGAACUUCUGUUAAUUGAUGACUUCGCGCCCACAUGAACAAUUGAUGGACGCCACAUGUCAAUAUGGGCCCAUUUCAAUAUUAAAAAAAUAUUUAAAAAAAAAAGAAAAAAAAAACAAAUAAACAUCUGCACCCACCUUAUCCCCCGCACCCUCUCUCUCCCUUCUCUCUUAUGCAACCCGCACCCUUCCCUCCCUUUUCUCUUAUGCACUUGCACCACCCUCUCUUCUCUCAUCUGGCGAGGUACGACAUAGCCAAUUAACAACUUACCAAUUAGUUUCAAUUUCAAUUCAAUGCACAAUUCAACCAAUUGCAACGAUUGAAAAAAAAAAAUUAGAAAUCGAUGCGAUUAAAACCCUAAAGUCCACUUCAAUUUUCCUCAGUUAGAUCAAAGCAAAGAAAGCACUUUGUGUGUGUGAUCUCGGUAUCUGGAGUCCUGGAGCUUAGCGGUGGACCGACGGUGUUACCCUUACGGACGACCUCAAGCGCGUACUCGACUUGGAAGAGAUGAUCAUCUGGAGAGAACACAAUAAUGGCUUUAUCUUACCUCGCCAAAGGAGAGAAAGAAGGGUGGUGCAGGUGCAAAUGCAGAAGAGAGAAGGGAAGGAGAGGGUGGGCACCGAUGUUUUUUUUUUUGUGUUUUUGUAUUUUUUUAAAAUUUUUAAUAUUGAAGUGGGCCCAUAUUGACAUGUGGCGCUUAGUAAAUGUCCAUGUGGGUGCCACGUCAUUAGUUAACAGAAGUUCUAACGGAAAACUUAAUAGAUGUAUGAGACUGUUCCAAAAUUAAUACUUUGGGUAUGACUUUGAGACGAAAAAAACUUCAUGUACUAAAUGUUGAAAACCACGAAACUUGAGGGUAGUAAACUGAGAUUAACCCUAUAUUUUAUACAACAAAAAUUAUAAAAUUAAUAAAAUAUUUAAUAAUAAUUUUUUUUUUAAAUCGUCAAUUUUGGCAACAAGGAAGAAGGUUGCCAAUCCAUAUCAUGCCACAUUAAAUUUGGUUUUUUGGUUGAAAAUAUUUUUGUUAUUUUUAUUAACUACUGAUAUAGACAUUUUGACAUUUCUUUUAAAGAUACUUAACUAAUAACUUUAGCUACUUACCUAUUAAUAAAUUAGGAAAACUAAUGAAAAAAACUUGAAAACUUUGAGUUUUAAUGAUAAGGACAAACUAAAAUGUAAAGUGAAUAGUAUUAGAUUUAACUUUUUAAUGUAAAAAUAUGAUUUUUCGUUAAAAUGAACAAUACCGCAAGCUUUUCGUUAAAACUCUAUAAUAAAUUUCUAAUUCCGCCCUUUUAUCUUCUCUGCCUUUUCCCAGCACUGCUUCACGCUGUAUAGAAAACUUCACGGGUUGUAAUUAUUAAAAGAAGGAACCGUGAGCUCUUUUUCGAAGCAGGCAGUGGCAGUCACGUCGGUGACGACGAGGUCCAUAUUGAUAAGAGCCGAGGCGAGAGGUUUCGGCGGUGAGCUUCCCCGCUGCUCGAAACCGCCGGGGAGCCGGGGGUGGUGGCGCGGUUUGGUCCCUGAGUGGAGUGAAGGGCGGCUCCCGGCUCUUUUUGCCUCCAUGGCUCUUUGUAAUCUGGGAGGGUAGAAAGGACAUUAUCAAUUCUUCUUAUUUGUUAAUUGACCCCAUUGUCGUUUGUCUUGUAGUGGAAUUUAUUACCAAUUGACCCCAUUUCCUUCCUUCUUCCUCAAAUGCCCAUUCUCUCUGGCUUUGUCCCCUCAACAACCAAGUCACGACAGAGUUGUCCAAAUAAAAAAAUACCCCCCCCCCCCAACAAACACGUGACAGGCACGUGAACCACAUGACAUAUAUAUAUAUUUUUAUAAUUUUUUAUUCUCUUUGUUUUCAUAAAUUGACUAAAAAAAUAGGAAAUUGUCAUUAACACUUCAAAAAUCUCAUUCUACACUCUUCGCAAGUGUAUUUUUCUUUCUAAUUAUAGAACGUUUGAAGUGUCAAAUGAGAUUUUUGGAGUGCUAAUAACAAUUCCAAAAAAGUAAUUAAAUUAAUCUCUUACAAGGUUCUAAAAAACGUUAGGCACUAGUUGGACGGCGGGAUCUAGGCGGGCGCCUAGGCGGUUUAGGUAAAUUUAUUGUAUAUCUUGUAAAUAAGUGUAUAUUGAUACUUACAAAAAAUUAUACUUGUAUGAAAUCCAUGUAUAAUAUAAUAAAAGAAUGAUAAAAUGCAAAAAGAGUAUCCAACAAGUCUAAAAUUUAAAAACACUUUAAACAUAUAUGCCAUAUAACCAUAGUGAGAAGUAUUGUAGGAUGACACAUGUACAACAAGUUCACAAAUUUAAACCACUUAGACUUAGAUAAUAUUUUUUUAUUUUAUUUUUUUAUUUCAUUAAAAAAAACUGUUUAGCUCCACCUAGCACCGCCUAGCCCGCCUAGAGCCCAUCCGAUUUUUCCAACUGAUUUGCAAGAAAACGCUUCGGCUCACCACCGCCCCGCCUAGGCCUUUUUUUAGAACAUUGAUCUCAAUAACCUAUAUAUUAUGCAAUUCUUUUUAUAUGGUACAACUGAGUGAUCUAAAAAAUUAACAGUUAGAUUUUGUAAAUAAAAAUUUAAUAAAUAUAUAUAUAUAUAUUAACAAUUAAAUCUUAUAUAAAACACGUAUCAUUGAGUAUCGGGACUUGUAUCAUAUACUCAAAAAGUCUUCCCUAGAAGAAGACUUUGAGAGAAUAAUUUAACUACUUAUUUGUUUUCACACUUGACAUUUCCGUGCAAUUGCGGCCGCUCCUGAAUGCGGAUAACAUGCAUGCGAAUACCUGGAAAUUUUCACGAGAUGACGACCCUAAUGGCUAAUAAAUUAACAAAGGAGACAAGUAGUAGAGUCAACAACUCACCUUAGUUUACGAUGUGAACUAUGGAUGCUAUUAAUUUAGUUGAAACUUCCCUUCAUUCACACAAUUUCUUGGAAAUUAAUUAAGCAAAAUCUUUAGCUCUAUAUAAUAUAAACCAAACUCAGUUCUGGUUUCCACACUCAACUCUCAAGUCUCUCAAUACUUUCGAAUCGUAGUUAAGCGACUAGCGGCUUAAUUAAGCACUUUCUCCUUCGACUCUCUAGAUUUUAUCCACCGGUCAUGGAGAAGGCGAUGAGCGAUGGGUUCGGAUGCAGCCCCGAUUCGCUUCUUGCACUUUUCUUAGUGAUCCUAAUCAUUCUUAACUGGCUCCUUGUACUGCACUUCAACUCGAAUUUACGCUACUUGUUUUUAUGCUUCCUUUGCGAUGUUAUGCAGAUUAAGCCCGUGAUCCAAAGAAGUUGCGCUGACGAGAACGUAUGUGAUCACGAACCAUCAGAAGGAGUUGAAACCAACUCUAAAACUACUAGUCAUGACCAAGUCCCUUCAGUUCAGGCUGCGGAGAUUAGUUACAUUCACGAAAAUGUUGCAGGUGGCGAUAAGAAUCUGUGUGCAGGAGAACUAGGACUAGUGAUGGAGAAACUAGGAACAUUAAGUGAGGGGAGACUCGGGUCGAAGGAGAUUGCUGACUUGUUCGAGGAGGACCCGAGCUUGGAGGAAGUAAAAGAAGCUUUUCGCGUGUUUGAUGAGAACGAGGACGGAUUCAUUGAUGCAGGUGAGGUAAUGAAGGUUCUCUCUGUAUUGGGUUUCGUUGAAGUUUCGGAAGUGGAAUGCAAACGGAUGAUCAAGGCAUUUGAUGUUGACGAAGAUGGACGCAUAGAUUUCGAUGAGUUUGUUAAACUCAUGGAGAACAGCUUCUGCUGAGUUCACAACAUAAAAUGCUCUCAAAUUCUAGGCUCUCUCUCUCUCUCUCUCUCUGCUUUCGAUGUUUCAAAAUCAACUAGACUGCUGUUUUCAUGAAAUUGUAAAUAUAUGAAGACUGGUGAAAUUGGAAACAUAAAUAAGAUUGAGCAGCAAACCAUUUGCACUAGUACAAAAGAUUAUAUGUUCAAAAGUAAUUAAAAUCUCAAAACGUAAAAUUUCAGUAACUACGAAUAGUUAACAAAAUAGACCUAAAGUAAGACUAAGACAAUCAAAGCUCAAUAAUCUUUUUAAUCUUCUGACGUGAGACAAUACUCUGUAUUCUCGUAGGAUUACACUAACUUUGCAAAAAGUGAUAAUCUUUGUGCGUAAAAUGGUAGUGUCCAGUCUAAGCAUUGGAAAAAAAAGUGGAUCCGCAGAAUCCCUAAUGAAUUGACUUAAUCGAAGUGCUCAAAGUUGUUGUGUCCAAUUUAAGGCUCAAGGUUCUAGUGUUUUACAACUUCGAUGAUGUGAAAAGGCGCUCCUAGUGAGAGUAAUUAUCAUGUUGGAGAAUAAUGUAACACUUUGACCAUGUGAAAAGGUGUAGUGAGAGUAGUUAUCGUAUUGUAGCGCGAUGCAUAACUUCUACUGUGUAGAAAAUGCGUUGUUAGCGUAGUUUCUGAAAAUACAAAACGAAUAUAAUACCUGAAAUGUAAUUACAUGUAUGGGUAAUUUUGCUAAAAUAAUACUUUAAAAAAUUUGGGAAUUUGUAAAAUUUUAAUAUUUAUUUACUUUAAUUAAUUAAUUAUUUUAUUAAAAAUACUAGUAUAUGCCCACACACAAAGUAUGUGAAAUUUUUUACUUUGGUUGUUAAAAUUGAAAGAGAGAGGAAGAGGAUGAGAGAGAACGUGCGAGUGAGGAGAGAGUGAGAGAGGUUGUUUUUAAUUUUUAAUUUUUUAAAUUAGAAAUGAUAAACUUACAUGUAGGUGGAGUUUAAAAAAAACAACAAAAUUUUGUUUUGUGAAAUUACGUUACUGUCCUUAAUUUUUUUUUUUUGUGAUAGAAGACAAAGAUGUAUUUUCAUUUUCUUUUUGGUUGACAAAUAGGGUUUUGUUAAUGUAGUUUUAGAUGUUUAAAAUAUGUCUGAAAUAUGUGAAUUUUAUUUGUAUCUUUAAUCUUUAAUAUUAGAAAGCUAAAAGGAGAGUUUGGUGUCUCAAGGUUUCACAAAAAAAAGGACUAUAAAGCCCCUCAAACAAAAAAAAUCCACAACUAGUUGAAAAUAAUAGAGACAAAAUAACAGGGAUAAUUUUCUCAGAAUACAGAAAAUAUAAAAUUUGUUUUAUUAAUAGAAAAAGAAACAGAUAACUCCUCCUCCAUUUUAGGAGAGAGAUGUUAAUAUCUCACAAAAAUAUAAAAAAAUAAAAUAAAAAUAACAACGAGCUUGGGGAGAAAAAUUAUCAAGAUUAGCACGUUUAGUUUUCAAACUGCAUAGCAGUUUCCGUUCAGUUUUCAAACUCACAUAGCCUUUUAUCAUAACUUCUCCAUUGCAUUUGUUCAGUUACAAAAUUAUGAUAUCACUCCAUCACCCUUCAUAUCCACAGCUAAAGAAGAAUUUACGAAGGGGCAAAAGGUUGGAUGCUUUGAAUGUUUCAUUGGUGGAGAAAUGUAUGGUAAGUUUUUUCUUUUCGCCUCUAAUAUUGAUAGCCCUCUCUGAAAUUUCCAGCGUUAUUAUAUUUUCGUUGACGAUGCAAUUGAAAGGUACGGAAUUUUUCAAAUUUAAACGAAAUCAUGCAAAUUCCCAAUAUUUAUGAAGUUUAACUUUUAACUUCAAUUUCUCUAAAAAAAUUCUUUCAUUUUGUUAUUGUUUUUUAGCAGGUCGGGAGAGCUGGUUGCAUAGGUUACUGGGAUGCCUUCGUCGGCAGCAUUAAUUAGAGCCAUGUAUGAAAUUUCUACCACACCAUGUGAUUGGAAUUUUAAAUUUUCACAGGUUUUGCUACUUUGUUUAAUUAAAUUUGGUCCCACUUUUCUAAUUAAAUUUCUUCCUCAGCUGGUACAUCGAGUAGCCUAAAAAAGGGUAGCUUUUAAUCCUACUCAAUUUAUAUUGUUGGUUAUCUAAAUCACAGCAUCCUUCUCUCCCACUACAACCCACGUCAACAUCGUGCUGCUAGGGGAAGCAGUGGAGAACUCCAGGAACUCCAUUUGAUCUCCAAAGAGGUAAGAGAGGUAGAAUUCAUCAGAUCUCUCAUUUUCAUUGAACUUGAUAGUAUGUUAUCGGAGCUAGCUUUGUGCUACUGUUGGCUCUUUUUUCAGUGUUCGCUCGAGUUCGUUUCUGUGGCCCUCGAGGAUCUAUUCCUUUCUUUAAGAGCUAUUGACUUUUGUAAACAUAAUACCUUUUGCUCCUCUAAGAGCACCUCCAGCGGGGGAGGUUGCUCGGGGGCUGUGGAUCACACAGUAGCAAAUUGCUGGGGGAUGAGCUCCAGCGUAUGGAAGCCCGAGCAACAGGCGAGGCCCGAGGAGCAGGCCCGUCGAGGAUUGCCAGCCCGAGAGCCCGAGGGCUGCGUCAGGCGCGUGCGUUUCACGCGCGCGUGGGCGCGAGUCGUCCGACAAAAAAACAGGGAUGGGGCCCGCGAUUUCAGUUUUGAAAAGUAACCGUUGGGGAAGCCACGUGGCUUCCCCAUGUCUGUUCGAUUGAAACGGUCAUAUUUUAUGGACCGUUGGAUUUCCAACGGUAAAAAACAUUUAAAAAUCUCAUUUAAUUUCAUCCGUUUGAUCUAAGAUCAACGGUUCACGUUAUUAGGCUUUGUAAAUUAUAUAAAAAGAAAGAAAAAACUGUUUAAAAAUCUAAAAUGUUACCGUUAUGACAUGUGGCACAAUCUGGAGUGUUGGAAUUUAAAUUUUUUUAAAUCCAACGGCAGAGAUUAAUUAGGUGAAUAAAAAUUUAAAAAAAUGUAAAAAAUUCUUAAAAAUCCGAAAAAAAUUAUGAAAAUUAUAAAAAAUUUUGAUUUCACUUCACCUCUAAAUACCUUCUCAUUAUCUUCUACCCGACACCACAAUUUCAUAUUUUCUCAACUACUUUCAACCACAUUCCUAUCUUUCUUUCAAAGUUUUUCAAUCCAAUUUUUUUCCAACAAAAUGACUACUCAACCAGGUACGAAUUGGACGCUUCUUGAAGAUGUUUGCGUUGUGUACUAGUUGGGUUCAAGUUACUCAUGAUUCGAUUACGGGUAAUGAGAUGCAGUUGCGAGAAAAUGUGGAGUCUUAUUCAUACCAAUUAUCUUGAGAAAAAUGGGUGGGCAAAGAACUAAAGAAUCGAUGUCCAGUCGUUGGAAAUUUACUUAGUCAAUUGUUUAGUACGUGGAGAGACGCCUUGGCACAAGCUAGUGGUAAUCUUCGAAGUGGGGAAAAUUUAACGGAUCAGGUAACAAUAUAUUAUUAUUUAUUUGUUAGCUACUUUCAUUAUAUUUAUUUGUUUGUAUUAUUUAUUUGUUAUCUUCUUUCAUUAUAAUUAUUUGUUAGCUACUUUCAUUAUAUUUAUUUGUUUGUAUUAUUUGUUACCUACUUUCAUUUUAAUUAUUUGUUAGCUACUUUCAUUAUAAUUAUUUGUUUGUUUGUAUUAUUUAUUUGUUACCUACUUUCAUUUAAUUAAUUAUUUGGUUGUAUUAUUUAUUGUUACCUACUUUCAUUAUAAUUAUUUAGCUAUUUAUUAUUAUUUGUUUAGUUAUUAUUUGUUACCUACUUUCAUUAUAAUUAUUUGGUUGUAUUAUUUAUUUGUUACCUACUUUCAUUAUAAUUAUUUGUUAGCUACUUUCAUUAUAUUUAUUUGUUUGUAUUAUUUAUUUGUUACCUACCUACUUUCAUUAUAAUUAUUUGUUUACUUUCAUUUAUAAUUAUUUGUUUGUAUUAUUAUUUUGUUACAUACUUUCAUUAUAAUUAUUUAUUUGUUACCUAUUCUCAUUAUAAUUAUUUGUUUGUGUAGGAACUUCAAGCACAAGCUUGGUAUGGUGCCAAAACCAAAAGCAAAAAACAAAACAUUCACCCGGUUUGAAUGUUGGAAUAUUGUCAAAGAUUGUCCUAAAUUUAGAGUUGUGCAUGUCGGUCCCAGAAGUUUUCAUGAACAGCACCCCUCUACACUCUACACCUGAGCAUGCCUCGCAUGAUCAUGAUGAAGAUGAUGAAGAAGUGCCUGAAACGCCCCCCGUUGAACAAGCGUCGGGGUCGACCCGUUUUCCAAUUAGGCCUCAAGGUAAGAAGGCUUCAAAGAGAAAAGGUAAUGCUUCCAAGAAUGAUUAUGCAAAGUAUAUGGAAGAUCUUGCCCGCCAAGGUGAAUUGAAUUUGGCCCGGGAAAUGGCUAAAUUUGAGGCUGAUAAGGCUAGAGAGGAUGCAAAAGCUGCAGCUUUUGAGAGAAAAUUUGAAGCUGAUGAGAGAGAAAGAGAACUACUUCGGCAAGAAAGGGAACAUAGAAGAGAAAAAAGAAUGGCUGAACGAGAUCGUGACAUUAUGAAGGAGCCUUUAGAAGGGAAGUCUCCAGACUCUAAAUAUUUUUGGAAGUCAGAGAAAGCGGACGUGGUGCGAAGGAGGUGCAAGAGAAGCGAGAGCAAGAGGAGAUGGUCCUAGCACCACAAAGAGAAGAUUAUCCCUAGCACGACAAAGAGAAGAUCAUCCUAGCACCACAAAUUGGUUAGGUGAUGGUUAUCAAUCCAUUCACGAACCCAUAAUUUUCCAAUCAAUUCGGGUUGUAAUUUCUUAUUCGGGUUGUAAUUUCUUAUUCAUUGAAUAGAGUACUUUAUGUUGUUUCCAAUUUAUUGAACUUUAGUACUUUAUUCAAAACACAUUUAAACACACCAAAUAAAAUAACAUCAACACACCAAAAAAAAACACCAAAUAAAAACAAACACCAAAUAAAAUAAAAUUACAUUUCAACUCACUAAAUGAACUAAAAAACACACCACAUAAAAUAAAAUAAACACACCAAAUAAAUAAAAUUACAUUUCAACUCACUAAAUGAACUUAAAAAACACACCACAUAAAAUAAAUAAACACACCAAAUAAAAACAAACACUAAUGAACUUAAGUAUCGUCAGCACCCCUCAAUUCCCACUGGUGCUCUAUCAAGUCAAGUUGGCGGCAUUGUGCAUAUAUGACCUUUGAAGUGCAGUAUAUCGUUGGAUAAUCCUUUAAUUGUAACGUCCAUCCCUUUCUAAUGGCUCAUGUUGCACGGGCUCAUCGGUGGCGUCAUGAGCACAAUAUAUACGUGUUCUUGAAUUGUUCAUAGUGUCCUGGCUCAUAUUCAUCAUCAACGGCUUCAUAAUCGUACUCAUCUUCCACAAUCAUGUUGUGAAGAAUGAUGCACGUCGUCAUGAUGGAUCGAAGCGACUCUACAUCAAACAAUCUGGCAGCACCCCUGAUGAUCGCCUAGCGAGCUUGGAGGAUACAGAAACAACGCUCCACAUCCUUCCUGCACCCUUCUUGACAUCUUGCAAAGUGUUUUUCCUUUGCACUACGCGGACGUGGCACUGUUUUGACAAAUGUUGACCACCUUGGGUAAAUGCCAUCAGCUAGGUAGUAUGGCGCGUCGUACAUACGUCCGUUGACCUCAUACGUGACUUUUGGUGCCUUUCCUUGCAGGACAUCGUUGAACACUGGGGAUUGGGUAAGGACAUUGAGGUCAUUUUGAGCUCCCGGAACCCCGAAAAAGGCGUGCCAAAUCCAUGUAUCAAAAGAUGUCACCGCCUCCAAAAUGAUACUUUUUGAUCAUUUUCUGUCCCCAUAAGCGCCUUGCCAUGCACUUGGACAGUUUUUCCAAGUCCAGUGCAUACAAUCAAUGCUUCCAAUCAUCCCUGGAAAACCUCGCAUCUCGCCUUUCUUCAGAAGCCUUUGCAAGUCCAUAUGAGUAGGUAUCCGGAGGUACUCUGCGGUGUAGAUAGAUUCGAUUGCCGAACAAAACCUCAUGAGGGACUCAAGAAUGGUUGAUUUUCCCAUCCUCGUUAUAUCGUCCACUUGGUCUGCAGCUGCUCCAUAUGCAAGCAUCCGCAAGGCAGCAGUAAUUUUUUGCUGAGGCAGGAGACCCAUAGCACCAAAAGCAUCCGGCUUUUGCACAAAGUAAGAAUCAUGGUUGCAAACAGCGCCCAUGAUUUUGUUGAACAAAUGUCGUUCCAUUCUAAAACGACGUCGGAAGUAUGUAUCAGGGAGUGCACUGUUACGGACAAAAUAAUCGUCCAAGAGCUCCUGACCUCGUCGUUGCAUGUUUCUAUCAAUGUUUACAGCACGGUUGGGCCUGCAGAUAUGAGCCACAGCUUGGACGACUCGACGGGAUUGUGAGGCUCCUGCCAUUCUUGAUUCGUCAUCCGUCUACGCUCGGCAUCCUCUUCCAUAUCAUUUUGGGCCCAAUCCCCAACAUUGAACAUUCCUUGUGAUUGGUUAAACAAUUCUUCCUCUUCUUGCUCGAUUUCCCACAUCAUCUUUGAAGAAGAGGAAGAAGACCUUGUAAGAAGGAAGCAGAAACUAUGAAUAAUGAUAGGGAUUUUGGUGAAGAAGGAAGUAAAAACUAUGAAUAAUGAUAGGGAUUUUGGCGAAGAAGGAAGCAGAAACUAUGAAUAAUGAUAGAGAUCUUGAGAAAAUUGGUGUGAGAUUUAUGAGGAUGGAUGGUGGAUUAUAUGGAGGAUUCAGAAGGGAUUAGGUUGUAGAUAAUGCCACGUGGCAUGCCAUCAUUCGUUAAAAAUCUGGUGGAAAUCUAUCCUCAAAGAUUGUAAUCGGAUUGUGACACGUGGCACGACGUGAUUGGUUAAAAAUCUUAUCAGAAAUCCAUCACCAAUAAUUGUCUUUUCAGAUAAUGACACGUGCCUUGACACAACGAUUAAAAAUCUUAUCGAAAAUCCAUCACCAAUAAUUUUUUUUACGGAUAAUGACACGUGGCGCAACGAGAACGAUUAAAAAUCUUAUCCGAAAUAACAAAUAUAAUUAUUUUGAAUUAUUUUAUAAAUGCAAAAAUACAAAAAUUUUAUUGCUAUUGGCUUUUCAGAUAAUGACCCGUGGCGCAACGAGAACGAUUAAAAAUCUUAUCCGAAAUUACAAAUGAAAUUAUUAUGUAUUAUUUUAUAAAUAAAAAAAUACUAAUAUUUUAUUGUCAAUUGCCAGGGCUAUUCAGUGCAGGGAUGGAGAUGCAAAAGGCAAUUGCCAGGGGAAUGCACUAUUCAUUAAGGGCAGUUACUGUUCACUAGGUGGAUUAAAUAGUGAAUUGCCUGGGGGGAGGGCUCCUACACUGGAGUUGCUCUAAUGUGAUUGUUUUUCAGAAAGAUAUUGAAAAGAUUAAGAGGUGCCCUGAGCAAGAUUCCUAUGACUGUCGAAGCCAUUUUCAUCUGCAUAAGCUAUCGUUGUCAAAUAUAUUUUCAUUGGGUUAGUAAUCCAUGUUUUCAAUUUCUGAUCUCUCUUAGUUUUGAUAGCAUAUUUGCACUCAAUUAUUUUCAUGGGCAAAGGCACUUGGUGCGAUGGCAAGUGCCUUCGCCCAUGAGCGGUAGGUCUCGGGUUCGAGACUUGGGAGCAGCCUCUCCAUAAAUGGGGGUAAGGCUAGCCGACAUUCACCUCUCUCAGACCCUGCGUAAAGCGGGAGCCUUGUGCACUGGGUACGACCUUUUUAUAAUUUUAUGGACUUCUUGCAGCAAAUUAACUUUCUCUGGAAUUUUUGUAACACCAUGUCUAAAUUGUCAGCCAUGUUUCAAAUGUGACUGUUGCCUCAUUUCAUUUUAUGGUUUUAGUUCAUAAUCAACUAAUUCACUAAUUCAAUUACAAAUAAUGCUAAUAUUUGAUUUUAACCGAACACAUUAAAUUUUCAACAUGAUGGAACGAUAUGAGUUCAUGAUAUGUUUUGCUGUCAAGUGUAUCAAGAUCAAUUGAAGUUCUUCGAUUGUUUUAUACUUUUUAUUUAGCUUUUAGUUGCAACUAAAUUAUAGGGAUCUUCUCUGUUACCUUUUUUUUUUUUUUUUUUACAUAUUCUAGACAAAAUACUUUAAAUUCCUGCUUGCAUUAUUAGAGAUGAUAAUCGCCUUUAUUUUAUGUUUGUAUACACUGAACCAAUCCUCGCAUAUAAAUACAUCUAAAAUGUGUAAGUCGCACGUAACGCGCCAUGAUUAAAAAAAAAUGCCUUAUGUAUGUAAAUGUAUUAUACUAUGUGGUUUAAAAAAGUGUAAUUUAAAUCAUUAAAAUGUAUAUGGAAAACAGAAGUAUUUUUGAAAAAAAAAACCGUAAGUAUAUGUAUAAUGUUAUGACGAAUUUACUAAAUAUGGUUGAUAGUUAGAGUAGUUAUCGCCACUAUUCUAAAAUAGGCUUAGACCUAGUUUGGGAGUGAGGUGUUUAAAAAAAAAAGCACAUGUGAAAAAAAGCUGUGAGGGUUUUAGGUGUUUGGUAAACUGAAAAAAAAUGGCUUAUUUUGGAAGCUGCUGUGAGAAUAAGCUGAAAUCAAAGGAAAAAGCUGAAGCUGCUAUUUGUAGCUUUGGAAAACUGGCUUUUUUUCAAAGCACACGGAGCUACAAUGCUCCUUUAAUGAAAAGACCCACUAUCAAACUGCUUUUUUUUUCCAAAAGCAUUUUUACAAAAAAGUUUACCAAACGCUCUGCUGAUUUAUUUCACAGCCGCUUAUUCUCACAGCACAGCCGCUUAUUCUCACAACAGUUUUUUUUCAAAGCACAGCAAUACCAAACCAGCCCUUAGGCGGCUGCCUAGGUGGUGGAUGGUGAAUGAUCAAUGCUAUUUAGGCCAAAACGUAAAGGAAAAUCGAGUAGGCGAUAGACGGUCGCUUAGGCGAACUAGGCAAUGGAUAGGUGGUUUAGGGGUUAGGGUUCCACUAUUUUAUUUUAUUUUUAAAAUUAAGUUAAAGGAUUUUCUGGAUAACCUACCCAAAAAACCCCACAUUAUUUCGAUUGCCGUUUCGUGUUUCUAUUCUCCCUGUCUCUUCGCACAUAGGCGCUCUCUCUCUCUCUCUCACACACUUUCUCUCGCAAUCGCUCACGUCGAUUCUAACUUUACUUGCGUUGUCUCUUGCAACUGCCGUCGACUAAACUCUCACAAGCCAUCGUCAAGGCUCAUUAUUUUGUUCUUUUUAGCUUUUAAUCUCUUUUUUUUCAUACUGCAAUUAAAUGACAUUGAAUUCUAGAUGCACGAUCCCAUUUACAUAUGUUGAUUCAUUGAAUCUUGAUUAAUCUGUGAUGAAAGAUGAUGUCAAUUUUAUAUUAUGAAUUAUUGAAAUUUUUAAUUUGGUUUUGAGAUUUUCUUAUUUUUGCUACAUUAGUCUCUGAUGAUGUCAGAGCCUUGAUUGCUUAAACUUUAACUUUUUUUAAAUUCUCAAUACAAGUAUAGUUUAUUUUAGAAAGUAAGUAGACACAUAUUUAUAUGUUAUAUAAUAAAUUAAAUUAAAUCCACCUACUCUGCUUAGACCCUUGCCUAAGCUCCUCCUAAACGCUUGACUCCAACCCGCUGUCUGACUAAUGCCUAAUAUUUUUUAGAACUUCAAAUUGUAUUCGAGCAUAAUGUACAAGUACAACAAAGUGAAAAAGAGUCCACACGGACACCUAUCGAACCACAGUAUAAUGAGCCACCAUCCUCAGUCAGACCAACAAGCAAAUGGAACACUAUCCACUUUGUUGCUGAGUGGAAAAAGCUUGAGAAUUGGGCUGAAGUUCUUUGGCCCAGGUUUCUUCGUUCCCGCGAUUAACCCCUCUCUGCGACUUUCAGAAGCAGCAAUAGAAGAAGAUACAAGAAGUCAACAACUCUCUCUCUCUCUCUCCCGGCCACCGGAGGCAGCUCCCUGGCCUCGUUCCCCUGUUUUCGUCCCGGUAAAGAUAAGAUCUUUGACCCUUGAUUUCCAUAUUAUUAAUUGUAUGUUAGUUUUUCCUUCCCAAUUGAAUUUUGAUCCGCCUAUUUUCCGUAGUCCGAUUGUGUUCUGAUCUGCUUUUGAUUGUCAGAUUGUGUGGCUAAAGAAGAAAACACAAGUUCAUAUUUUGAUUUUCGUUUCUAUGAUAAUUAUUUUGGAAAUAUACUGCAAAUGUGUGUAUAUACUCAUAUAUAUAUAUGUGUGUGUGUAUAUAUUUAUAUUUUGGUCAGAGGAGAAAUAAGGAAAACCCAGUUGCAUGCUGUUACCCAAUUUGCAUCAGAAUUCCUAGAUGGAAGCUUUUUGAUGAAUUUUUUAAUUUAAUCAGUUGGAAAAUGUAUAGAUUCAAUUUCUCUGUGAUGAUUUGUUCUUUUCUUUGGGUGUAUUUGAUGGAUAGGAUGGUUUCAAUGACUACUCCUCAAGCAAGAAGCAUUGGGCUUCCACUCAUGAACCUUAUCAAAUUAAAAGGAAUUCCCAUUCUCCAACAGCUUCAUUUAGAGGAGCAACUUCUGCGGACCUCGUCCCAUAAUUGGUGCAUUGUAAAUGAUGGAACUAAUGAUCCCACUAUUGUCAUGGGUGUUUCGGGGUAAGAUGAGCUUCUUACUCAUUGUCACUAUUGAUUAAGUUGGUAUGUUCUCUGUAUUAGAACACUAUCACCGAUCAAGUAGGAUGAUAUUGUUGUGGACCGUCCAAUGUAAAAGUGUCAUUGCUUGGUCAAUCGCAGACUUAUUUUCCGAAUUACAUGAUUCUGGCUCUGUUCAUUCUCUUAGGUUUGUGAUUUUAUUAUUUAUUUAUGUAUGUUUUUUGUAUUGGAGAUUGUAAAGGAUCCGUGUAUGUUCUGCAUAGAAAACCUGCAGAGCUUCUUGAAAUUGAUUUGGUGUUACGAGACCAGAUUCCUGUCAUUAGAAGGUUUACUGGAGGUGGCACUGUUACUGUUGAUCAAAAUACGCUGUUUGUCACUUUCAUAUGCAACAAGGAUGCCGUUCCUGGCUUGCAACCAUAUCCUCGACCUAUAAUGUCCUGGAGUAGCCUAGUUUACAGCAAAGUGUUUGAAGGACUUGCUGAUUUUCAACUUCGUGAAAAUGGUAACUUAACGAACCUUUCUAACGCUACUGUUUACUAGGGUGCUUUAUGCUUAUAAGAUUAUGUGUUUGUAAUGUUUAUUAGACUGAUUAGUAUCCUUUUCUUACCUCUUCUGUUAAUCCUAUUGUUUCCUGCUUUUUUUAUUUGAAAUUUCUGGAUGUGAUUUGAGGUUCUUUAUUUGAUCUUUUUGUGUGGUAUCAAAUGUUAGUUUUGUGUUUCGACUUUUCCCUAACAACAUAUUUGGUCCCAUCCGGUUGUAGAUUAUGUAUUUGGAAACCGCAAGUUUGGUGGGAACGCUCAAUCUAUUAGUAAAAACCGGUGGAUCCACCACACUUCCUUUCUAUGGGACUAUGAUGUUAGGAACAUGGCAUACCUGAAGCAUCCAAAACGGGUUCCUGAAUAUCGAUUGGUAUGUUAUUAAGUUGUCACAUCUAUUUUUCUGUGGUUCCUUUAAAUUUUAUGGUUCAACCUGUAUUUCCCACGUAGCCAAAGAAAAGCCUGUGAAUUCCACACCUUAAAUGUGCCGAUAUGCUAUCUAUUUCCUUUGCAGACAAGAGAUCAUUUAGAAUUCAUAUGCUGCAUGAAAGACUACAUCCCAAGAUCAGUUUUUCUUGAGAAAACAGUCGAGGCACUCUUAUCCCAAUUCUCCGUGAGAUCGGAACGGUCGGACGCCAUUGAAGCUACCUCGAGUACAAAGUUUGUACCCUCAACUAGGCUGUUGACAAGGCAGGAAUUAGAGGAAGCAGCAGCUUUUGACUCUCAGGCUGAAAGAAAUCUCUCUCAACCAUUGUCAUUGUAAGGAAAGUGUGAAAUUGAGUAUUCAGUGAGGGUGCUAUUCACAUAGUACCACCCUUCAAUUUUUUAAUAAAUGUAACCAAUUUUUUUCAAUCAAAACUAAUGUUUUAAAAGGCGAAGACGAAUUUGAGGUUUGCCUCACGGGACCUAAAAUUAUUAAUAUAUAUUACAUAUGAUUAUAUACAAAUACUAUAAUUCAUACACUUAUUUUUACUUCUCACACACCUCUCUCAAAUUUUCAGUCGUCAGAUUGAAUGUAAUGAAGAAGAUCAAUGACAAAAAAUUAACAAGGGUGUGAGAGGUAAAAAUAAGUGUGUGAAUAGCAUUUUUCAAUCAACAAUAGAGUUAAAAUCAAACAUUAUAGAAGAAUAAUCAACAAUUAAAUCAACAAUUUAUUCAUUGUAAGUGAGAAACUCUAAUCGUUAAAAAAAACCCAUCUAACGCCUCAAGUGCCUAAACGCACCUCGACCACGCCUAAGCGAAGCUUACUUUCUCUAGUUAGAAGUGUUUUUCUCACCGUCCCACCUUGAAGGCUGCCUACACAUGCCUUAAGGCUCAUUUUUUAAAACACUGAUCAAACAAAUGUUAAAGGUGUGUUAUCCACACAUCCCUUUUUACUUUUCACACACUCUCGUUAAUUUCUGUCAUUUGAUCUUCUUCAAUUCAUCCGAUCCGAUGGCCGAAAAUCAAAAAAAUGUGGGAGAAGUAAAAGGGGUAUGUGGAUAUCACACCCCAUGUUAAAUACCUUUUUGGACAAAAAUAUACGUCAGUCCAGUUUUUUGGAAAUUUGCAAUGCAGGUUAUUAAAUGCACGACCAUUGGAGAAGGAUUUUCAUACGCUUGAAAUGGUAUUUUCGCUGAGAAAUGCUAAUAAGAUCCUUUUAAAUACAACUUUUUAUAGAUUUUCUGUCACCUCAUACUUUAACGUUAAUUCUCGUUCUAACAUUAUAAAACAUCAUGCAAAAAAUAUGAGGUGACAAGAAAUUUAUAGAGAGUCUCAUUUUUAAAGAGUCUCUUUAACAUUUCUCAAUGCCGUUAUUACAAACUAAUCACAUUUUGCCGCAUGGUAUCUCAACACAACCACAUAUUUCAAUAUAAAAUGCGUAGCAGUACGUCAUUGGCUUGGAACAAAGGUGCAUGCAAAUUUCUCGACUCGGCCCGCCUACCAUGUCAACCGCAAAGACAGCCAUGUAGGCUUUCUUGGUGGAGAAGCUCUUCACCUUCCCAACCCAAGAUUUUUGUUCUUUUUCCCUCUUCGUCCUCGGUGCCACUGCAAACUCACAAAGCGCACCGUUCAUUGCACCUCUCUCUCUCUCUCUCUCUCUCUCCCCACACUCUGUUUCUCUCUCUGCCGCAGUAAAUUUCUGGUGGUGGCUCUGCGCAUUCUAACGACCGAAAUCACAGCUUGACCCGUCGUGUGCAAAUUCGUAAGCUUUCAAUCUUAAUACCCCAUUUCUUGCUUUCCCUCCAUGUUACUCUGCUAUUGCUUUGUCUGGCUUCCCCUGUAUUUUUUUUUUUUGAAUUGCCCUUUUACCAUAUUCAUAAAAAUGUUACCUUUUCCCAUUGAUUGACGAUAUUUCUCAUUUAAGUCUACACUUUUUGUGGAUUAUAUCAAUUUUUUGUUGAUGAUUUCGUGAAUUAUCAACGUCUGUGAUUGCAGAAAUUUGUUUGUAUUUGUCAUUAGGUGGUCAUUUUCUUUCUGGGAUUUUAAGGUUUCAUUCUCAUUUGACGAGAUUGUCUGCUGAUAUGAUAAGCAGGCGCAAAAACAAUUAAUUUGAUCAGAUUUGGGGUGGAAUUGUUCUUUUUGAAUAAAUGGUUAUCAAGUUCUGGUGCCUGGGAUGAAAGCUGCAUUUGGAGAAGUGCAUUGUUGUUGUGUAACUAAAGUGAGUCGAUGCACAUUUCAACAAUAAACAAGAGUGUCGAGAAAUUUUCGCAGUUGGCAUUUCGUAAGACUUUUGAGGGGUUUGCUUGUUGGAUUGCAGGAUGGGAAGGGUUAAGUUAAAGAUAAAGAAAUUAGAGAGCAGUGGUAACCGGCAGGUUACGUUUUCAAAACGGAGAAAUGGAAUCUUGAAGAAAGCUAAGGAGUUAUCAAUCUUAUGUGAUGUAGAUAUUGUCCUUCUCAUGUUUUCCCCCACUGGAAGGCCUACGAUAUUCCAAGGGGACCGCAGGUAUUGCAAGCGGAAAGUUUACAUUCGUUCUUUGAUCACAAUUUUGCAGACAAACUAGCAUAAGAAGACUAGAAUGAGACUAAAAUAGGGAGUGAAUGAACUUUCUAUAUCAUAUGUUAAUAUAGCUUCUUUGCUUUCAUGACAUUCUCAGUAAUUUUGAAGAGAUUGUUUCAAAGUUUGCGCGGUUAACUCCGCAGGAGAGGGCAAAGAGGUACUAGAAUACUUGCAACGAGAUUCGGAUUUUCUCAUUUUCUAGCUCGAUUGAGUUUCGAUGGCAUUACAGCUAACUACUUGUCCAUUUUGUCUUUAACAGGAAAUUGGAGAGCCUGGAAGUAAGACUUUCGCAAAUAGCAUUUCAAACGGGAACAUUUGUUUCUCUUGCUUUUGUUGUAUUAAAUGAAAACUAGCUUAUGCCACUUAAUUCAUUCUAUACUUGUGUUUUGGUGUUCUUUUUGUGGAUAUAGGUGCUGAAAAAAACUUUUAAGAAGUUGGAUCAUGACGUUAACGUACAAGAUUUCAUGAGUUCAAGGUAUGUGAUUGUUUUUAUCACAUUUGUCAUUUCCUUUGAGUGAAAUCUAUGGGAAUAUCUGAUGCGGCCCUUUACUUAACGUUCUUUUUCUCUUCUGUUUCUUGCAGCUCUCAGACAGUUGAGGUAUAUAUUCUUUACCACCAAUAGAAUUAUAAAUGCUUUUCUAAUUUAACUACGACAACUAAUGUCUUGUGAUAAAUUGCUAUUGGCAGGAUCUGACUCAUCAAGUAGCGGUAUUGCAAACCCAACUUACAGAACUCCAUAAGAGACUGAGGUGCACCUUUGGAGCUUUUAGUUGUUAAAGUAUUGCCUUGUCUUUUUGGUCUUGAUGGUCAAUUUGGGUUGUGUUGUAUGUUUCGAAAAUGUUUGUGCUUCAGUUUCUAUAUACCAGAACGAUAACUUUCGUACAGGCCCUAAGAAAUUGUAUAAAAACUCUUUCUGUUUGAAUUGUCUUGUGUGUUCCUGAUUAUAUUACAUAUAUUUUGACCUGUUUUUCGUAUUCAAUGUUUCAUUGAAUCUACAAAUGAUCGCGAUCCAUUGCAUAUUAAACUAUGCAUUGAUCAGUAAGGUAUAUGCAUAUAAAGAAUCCAUGUGAUAAUUUUAAUCCUUGCCACUUUUUCAGCUUUUGGAGCGACCCAGAUAAGGUUGACAAUCUUGAACAGCUUAGGCAGAUGGAAGACAUGCUUAAGGAAUCAAUCAACCGAACCUGUCUACGCAAGGUAUAAUUUUGUAUUUCAUGUUACAGUAUUGCAUAAUAAAUUCUAAGGCUUGUGAUGUGAAAGAAAAACAACGAGGGUUUACGGUUUUGUUUACCAAACAACUGAAAAGAAAAGAUGAAGUAUGAACAGUGAUAUAUCAUCGAUAAAUGGCUUUGGUUGGUUUUGGUGUCAUGGUGAGUUGAAGUAGCCAUGACUUACCUGAUCCGCCUGAGUUGCUACUUGUUCUACCUGCUUUAUGUGUGGCUGGCUAUUGAAUUGAUACUAACCUAUUGGAUAACUAAAAUUGUUAGGAAAAUUUGGGAAAACAUCAACUAACAUCACUAGAUUGCACAAACCAGGUAAUAAAUACUUUAGCUGAUGAACAAUGCUCUCUCUCUCUCUCUCUCUCUCUCUCUCAUGUAAUCUAAUUUGAAGCUUGAUUUUUGUGUAUCAAAGUUUCAAAAUGGAAUGCUUUCGUCUUUAUUAGUUGGUGGUGGUAUGCAAGAAGCUCAACCUAUAACUUGGCUUUUCAAUAGCGACAAUCAACAUAUGAUAUUCCCGAAUGAGCCGAACUAUCUUCCACAUAGGUUAGUCUAUUGCUGUUAUGCAUCCACCAGUACAGAGCCUAAUGCCUGAGAACUUUCUUUCUGAUAAAUUACCGAUGCUAUGAUGCUCUCUGUCUCUCUCCCUAGAGGUGUGGAGUGCUCUACAAAUGCCACUGUUCCACAUUAUACUAGUUACUUUGGCACUGGGACGAGCACUAGCCCUAGCAACAGCAAACAAUCUGAGGCCGGUGAUCCAGUACGACUAGAUACUAUGGGACAAAUUUCUAAUAUGGAAGGAGGCGGUGGCUUAAAUGAGUUUGACAUUAAUGCUUGUUUAAGUACGGAACCUGGUAAGCAUUACGCUUAUCCAUCAUAUUGUAGUUCUUACGUGCCAGACGAUCAGAAAUUGAACCAUGAAAUGGAAAAGAACGUACCAACAAAUCCGGUGGACUAUCAACUGAGUAGCAACUUUGAACUGCCAAGAUCUUUGUAUGAAACUGAUCAUCAUGCUUGGCUUUCUUCAUCUGGGCCUAGCGGCAUUGCUGUGUACAAGGAGAAUACCUACCAACCGGUGAGUCCUUCCAUCGAUAUUUUUCAAUCUGUUUCGGCAAGCUUAUGAAAUAAUGGACAAACUAUUGGUCUAUGUAUUUUAUCGUUCCAUUGGUGACUUGCGGCUCUAUGUUUGUUUUCGUCUCUUGUAGCAACCAAACGUGAGAUUGUAGCUGACAAAAUAUUGGAAGGAUUUACGGGAGGCACAUACCGAGCAAAUGAUAUGAGUUGGAAAUCUUAAGAGUAAUCCAAGAUAUGUAUUGAUGCUAACAGGCUACUUGGGGGAUUAGACUAAAUCUGUAUAUAUAUUGUACAAGACAUAUAGAAUUAUAAUUCAUCUGUAUACUAACAUCGUUGGGUUCCUUAAUUCAGAGCAUCCACCACUUUUGUAAACUAUUACUCAUAGAAAAUGAAAGCAAACAUGAUGGAUUUCUCGAACUACUUUGUGAUUUAUAUUAUCUUCGCCCACAGCUUUUUUGUAACUGAGCGAUUUCUAACCUAGUCUAAUUUACGGAGAGGGGAAUUCGAGUUUGGGUGUAGAUGGCGAACUCUGCACUAGCCAACUUGACGAUGCCCAUACGCUCAAUGAUCAAUAUUAUAUUAGUAGAUGUAAUGAGAAUGAUAAUACUAAUUGCCACCAUGGUUCCUGUACACCGGUAAAACAUUUUGUCUACAUUGAUGCUCACCAUUUCACACUCACUCAAAGAACAUUAAUUCAUUGUUACAAAAUAAAUAAGAACAGAAUUUCCAUAUUUUCUUCUUCCACUUUUCUUGCGUUGCAAUGGAUCUAGAAGCCUCUUAGGGUUUGGAUAAUGGUGUUAUGCCAUGGGUCUGAGAGGUGCUGCAACAGGUUGUCAAACGGUCCUUUUCCGGUCACAUUGUGUUGAACCACAAACCCUAGGAAUGCCAACAUUGCCAGUCUCCCUACAUAACACAUUUCAAAACAACGUAUUACACCUCAUUUCAAACUUAAAAGCAGACGUGAGUUAGGUUAGUUGGUCGGAGCAAUGUUGGACACGAGAUCAAACGCUUACCAUUGGCAAGUUCCUUCUCCUUGGCCUCGAGAGUCGGUGCGAAGUUGAGGGGGUUGAAGAUGCCGCCUGGGUAACCCACAUCACCUGGGGGCAAGCUGUAUUGCUUGAAGAUGGGGUCUUGGUUCACACUUCCUGGGUUCUUGAUGUCUUGCCACCGUCUGAUCUCGACGUAGUGGAACAGGAUGAACUCGAUCACAAAGAGGGUGGACGAAGAGGCGAAGUACUCGCCCUUUCCGGCAUCAUACCAUUUGGGGACGUUAAGGAUCCCCAAGUUGGUGAACACUUCAGGCAAUAGCAUCCCAGCAACACCCAACAUUGCCCAUCUGCUAUUGACAAGCUCAGCUUGGACAAACCACCUCAAGUUCUCUGGGUCCUCAGCAAGUGCCAGAGGAUCAAAUCCAUUGUCACCGGGAAGACUGCCCACAAAAACAUAUCUUAGUCAAUCAAUGCUUUUUCCUCAAUCGAAAUAUUUAUAAGCAUUUUUAUUGGUCAUUCAGAAAAAAGUCAUUGUGCACUCUUUUUCUUAAAAAAAAAAAAAAAAACAUUCAAAUUGUAAUUCGAGAAAUUUUAAACAUACCUUCCGGUGAGGUAGUCUGGUGAAGCCAAGCCGGGUAACCACUCACCCUUCUUGGCCUCAACUUUAAACGAAGAAGCAGAAGGAGAAGCCAUAGGCCUAAAAGCCACUUCCCUAUUUAAUUUACUCGAAGACCCUGAAAGGAACCUUGAUUUCGAGUUGACACACGGCCGGAAAACGGCCGCCGAGGCUUGAGUUGUGACCGUAGCCAUUGUUUUCCCACCUGAAUUAUGGUCGGAUUUUCAGGUAGGGAUGGGGGGUUAGUGGUGUAGAGGAAUAUAAGGUAUGGAGCUAAAUGAAAACGUAAAUUGUGUAAUGUGAGUCCAUGGCUUUGUAUAUUUGAUGCCAACUUGUCAAUGCGGGUCUUGUGGAGGUUGUUCUUUGAUGGAAUUUGACCGUUGGUUUGCAAGAUUUUUGUGAUCCAACGAUGGAGAUUUGCUUAUGGUUUGAGAUGAGCCAAUGGGAAGUCUUGGACCUUAUCUUUUUAUCUUUAGGGUUGUAUCCACAAAUCUCUACCUGUGAUGCUGUUGGCUGAAAUGAGAAUGUGGGGUCCACUUUGUGGCCACGCAUGAAGAUUUUUUUAACAGGAUAUGGAUAUGAUGAUUAGGGUCUCCUUCCACGUGGAAUCUAAGGGAGCCUAUAGUUGCAUGACAAAUAGCUGGCUCAAACUACAUCUUACCUGGUGGCUAAUCUGAUUUCGGGCAGGGGCACGUACGCCCUCUCAACUUUUUAGAGCAGUUCCACCGUGGGCAAUAGCCUUGGUGGACUGGCUCUCAAACAGGGCCAGAAAGCCCGAGCAACUUGGUUCAGCGUGUACUGGCAAUGGAGUCCGAGCGAGCCAGAGGGAGAGGCCCGACAGGAGUUGCCAGCCUGAGAGCCUGAAGGGCAUGUGAUGCAAGGCUGACGUCUAGGCGACGUCAGCCACGUGGUGGACGGGCCGAACUUCCCUUUCUCUCUCUCAACCUUCAUGGUUCUUGAACGACAUCGUUGUCUCACGGUGGAUGGGUGCAGCGACGAAGCAGAACCCCAAAUUUUAUAGAACAAAACCCAUUAGAGACAAUACCAAAAACCCAUCAUGGAAAUUGGAUGAUCAGAACCGGAUCGAAUCAGACGGGGCUGAGAAGUUGGGAAAGUUGCAGCUUGGGUUCCGAGUUCAUGUCGAUGAUGAUGACCAGGGGAAUGAAGCCGUAGUGGGUGACGACCUUGGCCUUCUUCAGGGCCCACGUGCUCCACUCCUUGAAGGAUUGAGCCACCGAGCGCUCCUCCGAGCCCUUGGAGGGCUUUGCCAGAGUCUUGCCCUUGCUCUUCAAAGAUAUUCUCGACGCCGUUGAAAUUUGCUUCAGGGGUUUGAGCGAGUUUUGAUUUGAUUAGUUAAUUGCUAGAGCAAACUGUUUUAAAGAUAAAAACUUUAGUCAAAAUUUGACUAGUUAAAAUGUAGAAGCUGCAUUAACUUUGCAAUGGAAUUUGCAUCUUUAAUUUGUACUUUUCUUAAAAUAAUUAUUUUGUAUUAUUUUAUAAAUAAAAAAAUUACUAUUAUUUUAUUACCUAUUGCCAUGGCUAUUCAAUGUAGGGUGGAGAUGUAAAAAAAGCAGUUACUGUUUAUUAAGGGCAAUUACUGUUCACUAGGUGGAUUAAAUAGUGAAUAGCCGUGGGGGGCCUUAGCAACGGUAGAGUUGCUCUUAGGGUUGAAAAUAAAAAAAGAGGAUGGUUAUUCACACAUUUGGUUUAUAUCUCACAUACGUCUUUAUGCAAUCGAUUAUAUUUGUGCAUAUUUUCUUUUUCAUUAUAAUAUCAAAUUAUAACCAAAGCUCAAAAGUCAUGGACAAUGGCUUGAUUUUAACUCUACGUGACGUUGAGUCAAAAUGUGACAACAGAUAAGAAUGAUGAAAGGUCAGGUAACUAUUCAUCCUCUUGCUUUUGGAGAGGAGAACUUCUUCCACAACGCUUAACCAUGAGACAGACAAAAAUGUAAACCAUUUCCAUUUGACAAAAGUUAUGGUACAUUUUGAUGAAACAGUAAAAAGUUGAAAAAGUGACAUGACGGCAUAUCGUUCAAUAUUCGACUAUCUUAAACCUUAGGAUUAGCUCAAGUGGCGAGGGAGUGAGCAGUUAGGCUCUUGCAGUAGCACCUUGUUGCCUCAUGUGUCAUGACUUAUCGGAGAUAUUCAUCAAAUUCCGUGUUUAGUACGUAUACUAGUUGCAUUGGCAAAUUAAUGAUCAUUUUGAGUUGUUUGUCAUUGUCAUCUGAUUUUUCAAUCCAACAAUAAACAAUGUGUGUUGUGUGGCUUUAGUGACAUGAAGUUAGUCAGUAUGGUAGAAAGAACAAGACUAACAUGCUUUCGCUCACCUUAUCUAUUUGCGCACUGGCGUAUAGGGGCUUAUAUCUAUGUGAUUCGCUAUGCUUGUUUGCGUUUUUCUUGCUGCAAAAGCAAACUUACUGCUGUAAUUAAGUAGCUUUGAGGAAUGAGAAAAUAGUACUGAUCAAGUUCACAUUAAAGAGCCAAGUGAAGUAUACAAGUUGCAUGCCUUCUCCGCCUUUGCCUCUGAGUCGGCUUCGGGCUCAUACUUGGUAUAUAUGUGAUCAAUUUCGAAACACACAAUAUGUGGCACUGCAUCUGCAUGACCCUUCUCCUUAAACUCCUUGACACAUUCCCAAUGAUCCAUGCUUCAUGGAUUCUCCAACUCCUCGACAGAUCAUAUCGUGGGUGAUGCAGCAUCGCUACCAUAUACAGAGGGAAAAGUUGUCUACAAUUGGGGAGACAAAGACCUAGAGAUAGUAUCCCUAUCUUAUUUUCUCUCCUUCUGUGAGAGUUCUUCCUUCAUUUUUGGUGAGGGUUUCAAUCUUGACCACCAUCUUAGGCAUCGACUCUAGCUUUGGCUGGAGUCGGUUGCCACUUUUCCGUUUCUUUUGUUUUCUCCUCCUUUUCCCUUCUCUGCUGCUUUUUCCCCUCCUCAUCAUCUUGAUUUCCCCUCUUCUUUUUCCCUUGAUGUCAUCCCUCUUCCUCCUUCAUUUGCGUUUCGAUCUUCAACCACAUUUGCAUUCGAGUUGGUGCUACGAGUUUCGAUGUUUCAACCGACUCAGGUGUUCCCAACAUCACCACCUUCUCCUUGUUGUCUGCCAGAUCUAGCAGUGUUGCUCAUGGUGUUUCAUGGGCUUCCUUUUAUUGAUAACCAACUGAUUUCCUUCAGUUUUUGGUUAUCCUCACUUUAUGGUUGUGCUCGGGGAGCAAAUCGGUGUUGGAUGAUACGAUCGGAGAGGCGAUGUUUGGCGGUGGCAUGGAUUUCUGCAAGUUGAGAUCCACUGUCCUGGCGGAGGCGGUAGCAACGGACUUCUCGACUUUUUGUUUGUUUCUUCUGUUUUUGGUUGGGUUUUUUGUUUUUCUAUUUUCCCGCUCUGAUCCUUUUUGGUUUGUGUAUUUUGUCUGUGGGCCAAUAGUUUGUAAAUUUGUGUUGUGUGUUUAAUAAAAUUUAUUGGUGAUCCUUUUGGAUCCCACUUGAUCAAAAAAAAAAAAAAAAAAAAAAUAGUUGUCUACAAUUAAAAGAGAUAGUAGCGCACUUCAAAGUCCACGUUUAGGCAGAACUCGGGCUGUGGCCGAAGUCUGAUGGAUAACGAAGAGAGGGUUACAGAUUUUUGGCCCAAGAUGAGCAAUCACGGCAUGGUUUCAUUACACGGCGAAAGAUCAUAUUUCCAGUUGAUUAAAAUAGUUUAGAACAUCGUUCUAUUAAGAAAGUGUACGCGGGAAUUUCACCUUGAGAUCAAGCAGGAAUGGUGAUCAAAACCUUUACGCUCAUAGAUAGAAUGAAUUCAAACUUCAAGUAACUAGUUUCAUCCUCAUGAAGAGAGAGACUUUAUUCUCCAAAACCUUACAAAAUAAAACGCAUUACAACGUAAUUGAAUCAAACCAAACCAAACCAGACGGACAACUAAGUAACCUAACAAAACCCGGCGGGUGGUUUUACACCCACCGCUGCCGAAAUCUUUGUCUGCCUUUUUCCAAAAGAGAGCAGAGUAAAGACGCACAAUGACCUCAUAAUUUAAUUCCAAAUGAUAAAGAGCCCCCUUAAUAUAAGCCCUUCUCAUUUUUUGACUCUCAACAGUACUAGGUUUCAAUAACUGUAGCUACACCCUAAACAAACAUGUAACUAUAAUUUGUUUAAUUUAAUGUUUGCUGUUUAGAAUUGUUGGCCGCUGAAUGUUUGGCCAAAGGACCAGCCGGCAGGAACAACGUUGUUGGAGACAAUCGUGCGGCCGUCGCUGGCUGUGACCUUGAAGGAGAGGCUCUGGCCGUUGAGGAAAGAGUUGCUCUGCCAGUUUUGGCCCCAGUUCCUUGACAUGGGUUGCCAGCCAGUUCUUGACCCUUUGAUGGAAACUGCAUGAACGUCACCAGCACCUCCAACGUUUGUGAUCAGCACUAAAUUGAAGUAUGAAUGACCGUUGAUUGUGAAUCUAAUGCCUCCCUUCUUUAAGCAAGGCACCCUGCAAAAAUUCAUAAACAACAAAUCAUGAGUCUUCGUCGUCGAUAAAGUUUUUGAGUGUGACAGUCACAUUAUCACAUACGUUUAACUAAUACGUUUAUAAUAUAAGUUGACAACUUAAUUAAUAGAUGAUAAUAUGAACAAAUUGUUACAAUCAUGUGUAUAUAGGACGGUCAGAUAAAAGUUGAGGGGUACUUUUGGAAAUAUCAGAAACUGGAAAAGAUGACGUUAGGUAAAUUGGUUGGUUCUUGGAAGUGCUUUGGUCGGCAAAACAGAAAGGCUACAGCUGAUGAUAUAAGGUAACCGAUUUUAGAGCAGGCUUCUUGUGGACACAUGUUUCAACAAUUAUAAAUGCGCCGAAUCUUAUACAUAAUAAUAUCAAUUGGAAAAUUUUCACUAACACAGUAAAACUCCCUAAACUAUUAAGGGCGUGAGAUGCUAACAAAGAUUAAACAAUCAUGACCAUUCGACAACUUGGGUGAAGAAUUGUGUUUUAUGAAAGCUGUCAGCGCAACAGAAUUGCCUUACUUUACAUGGCUUCUGUUGUGCUCACGAGCUUCAGUAAACGCGAUUCUUACACAAACAUCUUCAGUAAACGCGAUUCUUACACAAACAUCGUUUAUAAAUUAUGAAAUGGCUAAAAAUGCCCUUGAAAAUUGUUGUGAGGUGUCUGUGCACACCCCUAAGAAUUUAAGGGGUAUAUGUGCAAUUUUCCCUUGUAAAUUCAUUUUUACUAAGUUGGCAAACAGCCCCUGCGAGAGUGGAGUUUCUCAAGAAACAUAAAGCAGGCCAAGCCUGAAUUUGCAUACCUUCUGUAAGACACAGGCACGAUUCCAGCUCGGUACUGAGCAAUCUGUUGGAAGACGGGCUGGGCGAGAUCAAAGUGGUGCUGCGGCGGGUUGCACCAGCCUCCGGCAUUGUUGGGAAGGGCAUCGUUUGGCGGGCAGAAAUUGGUGGCGGUGACCAUAAUAGAGCCCGGAAGACACCAUUUGGGGUCACUCACACACCUAAUCUCAAAACAAGCCCCACAGCUCAACCCAUUGUUGAACAGUGCUGUGCUCAGAGCUGCAGUGUUAGUUCCAUAGCCUUGGCUAUACAGAUUUCCAUAGCCACAAGCCCCACCUGCAAUUUAUAGAUACAUUAAAAAAAAAUUAAGACGUGGCGGGUAUUAAUAAACGGACUGUUGAAUAUAUAUGCGCUAACAAAAUGUAUUGACAUGUUAUAGAUUCAUUUUUCACAUUAACAAUGCAUGUAUGUUUUUAACUUCCUUUAGAGAUAAUUUAUAUGUGUUUACUUACCCAUUGUACCGGUCGCAUCACCUCCGCCAUAGAAAGUGGCAUGUGCAUCAACCCAACCACCGUCACCUCCUCCAUACCCACAAGCAAAAGAGCUCAAAGAAAGAAGAACCACCAAGAGAAAACCAAGAAUUGCCAUGUUUUUUCUUGCACAACAAGCUUUGUACUUGUUUUUGAAGCAGAAACACAACUUUUGGUAGUGAGAUAAAUAGAGAGCAAAAGAGGCUUUGUGUUUGUGAGUUGUGAGGAGAAGUUGAGGGGGU
rnacentral:lncRNA from 1 species